UUUUUUUUUUCCUUUUUGUUCCGUUAUCUUUAUGAUAGUCGAGCCCGAUCCAUUUUUUGGAUCGUCUGAAAAAAAUAUCCUUGUGAUCAUCGUGUUUUUCUACUUUUCUGAGAAAAUAAAGGUUUGCAUUUCGAUGCAUUGAUACAUAAGAUGAAGGAUAGUACUGCCUUGCAUAUUGGCUUUGGCUGAAGUCAAUAUGAACAUUUAAAAUAACAAAUAUCUAUGAUGUGAAAGUAUAGUCAAUGAUGAAUCUAAUGGUAUUUAUUUGGUGGUGUAUAUAUUAAUAUAUUUUUCUACAAACUUGAUAAAUGUUUAAUAAAGUUUGACCUUAGACAAACAUAGUGUGCAGAGUAAAUAAAACGGAGGUAGUACAUCACAAACCUAGACGGGCAAACACCCCAAGUACAACGUUACGCAGCUUCGCAACGAGACCGCUAGGAGGAUCGAGGCAAGACCCAUCGCCCUUCCCUCGCCCGUAGUCGUGCCUCAAACUUGAUUGUGUCGAUCAAAACAUCGAUGCUAGGUUGCACGUUGUUGAAUACAACAUUGCCAUGCUUUCGAAUCCAACCAAAUCACGAGGAUGAUCGCCUAGGACUAGGAGGUGCCCCCUUGUGCAUCGUGGCCGGGGUGUACCGGCCAGUGGUCCGCUAACACCAAUCUACCAAGUUCUCACUCGCAACUAGAGGCGCAAUGGCGGAUCGAAUCCAAGAUAUGAACUCGCGCCACACCACGGGGCACGCAAGAAGAGCGACCAGCUGUCAGGAGAUGGGUCAUGGUCUCCUCCGAUUGGUUGCAACACAGGUGCACACUUAGUUGCAGGCCUCUUCGUAGUGAGACUCUCAGCAGUCCUACACCACUCUUGGCAAGCAAGGAAAAUUAAGACUUCACACUUGAAGAUGCCCAAGAGCAUCGGUUCAACCUCCAAGAUCUUGAAACAACACCCCAGGAAGAGGGUGAUGUACCAAAAAUUUCCAAAGUACUGAGUGUUAGUGGCCCAAUGACCAACCAACAUGACUGGUACUAUCGUGAGCUACACCCGACGCACCCUCGUGUUACCAUAGGGCUAGCAGUCCGAGGAUCACCCAAAUGUCAGUGGUCUAACAGAUGUCCACGAGUGUGUCCGGUUUGGUACGAUAUUUACAGCGAGUCACUGGUCCUCAGAGAAGAGGGCAGAUAUUCUGUUGCCAACGACCAUCUGAUGGAUGCAUCGAACAUGCUCCAAGCUGAGUUUCCUGUCAGCAAGUGCUAACAUUGUGUUGCUCCAGAUAGCACAACAUGACACCAACAUCACCUUUUCUUUGUUUACCAAAAAGAGAGCACGCCCUUGGAUUUCAUUUAUUUGAAACCACAUUCAUCGUCUUUGAGCAGCACUUGCUCCGAACAACAACAAAAUCAUGCCCCAGAUUCGCACCAUGAUCUGAAACGAGGCAGGCAACCUCGGAGAAGGAGGAGGUGCCUGCUGGCGUGUCCUCUUCUGGCACUUGGAUGUGCCGGAGCAACAGGCGUCCAAAUUAAGAGAGACUGUUUGCACUACUAUCUGCAUCUCCCCGCUUUUGUUUUUCCAAACAGUGUUGCUAAAUCUCAGUUGACUGAGACCGUCUCAGUCCAUCCUGUAUCCAUGUGAUAUUGCAUGGAGAUCCGUGCAAGAUUAUUUUUUUUCUUAUAGGUUAUGGCAGUUGAUUGGGACCCUUUUCCAAACGCCAAGUGGGACGAUGGUCACGACUCACGUGGGGAAGAAGCCAGAAGAUGGAGGAGUGACCGGUGGCGAUUAGGAGAUGUGCUUGCUUCACGUGUGUGGUGCGCGUGAUUACACGGCGUAAAAAUACGGUUGCCUCGUGCGUGCAGAUCCGGCGGGAGUGACAGUUACAGUGUCCUCCCAGAGUGCCACAGUUUCCCCUGCCUCCUCCAUCGCGACGUAUGUGGUCUGCUGGCCUUGUAAUUUUGGCGGACAAUGAUUCACAGCCUUGGCGCCCGGCGACGAGGCAGCCAGUGUGCGUGUGAAGUGAGCCAAGCGUCCUCUCGAGCGUCGACUCACUCGCCCACAUGGCGAGGGAAUCGCCCGAGAGUCUUGGGAGCAAAUAGGAGCUUGUCCUCUGCGUUCCUCUCGUCUCGCUUUCGAGCCCAUCAAUUCCCCGCUCGUCGCACUUGUCCUCCUCCUCGUCCUGCGUCAUUCAUGGCGACGGGCGCCCACCUCUUCCCUACCCGUACCGACGGUGCCACCGCCCCCUUGCUUGUCUCUUCUGCACCCGCUGCAUAGCGCAUCCUACUAGUACUAGUUACUACUAGUAACAAGAAGCCGGUGCAUCCGCGCCAAGAGGAAGGAGGAGAAGGGGCGGAGAAAGCCAUGUCCGGCACCGGCGCGGUGACCGUGGCUGUUGCCGACGCGGCAGCGACGCCCACCGGGGAGUGCUACUUCUGCGCCGGCGCUCCGGCUGUGGUGUACUGCCGUGCGGACGCCGCGGGGCUCUGCCUGCCGUGCGACCGCCACGUCCACGGCGCCAACACGGUCUCCUGCCGCCACGCCCGCGCCCCGCUCUGCGCGGUCUGCCGCGCUGCCGCGGCCACCGUCCGCCGCGGCGCUGCCCGGUUCCUCUGCUCGAACUGCGACUUCGAGGAGCAGCAGCACGGGGAGCUAACGCAGGUGCCGCUGCUGCACGACCGUGGCAUGGUCGAGGGCUACACCGGGUGCCCCUCGGUGGGCGAGCUCGCGGCGAUCCUCGGCAUCGUCGUCGGCGACAAAGCGGCUGAGGCGUGGUGGCCUCUUUGGGAGGAGCCCCAAGUGCUCAGCUUCGACGACGUCGUCGUGCCGACCACCGCCUGCCAUGGCCUCCAGCCCCUCCUCGCAUCGUCCUCUCCAAAGGUUGGUUGCUGACUUGCCGGCACCGUAGCAUGCAGCUACUGUUCACCGUCCGGCAAAACGAAAAGGAAAAGAAAGUUCGUUCUCUGAUGUUUUUUUACGUAUGAUGUGUGCAAGAACCGGAGCCCGCCCUGCGGGGAGCUGGACGGCGAGGUUCUCCGGCAGCUAGGGGAGCUCGCCAAGUCGGAGGAGGCGGCGACAGAGCCGGCCUGCGUUGAUCAGCUGCCUCCACCAUGGGGAUCUUCAGAUUACGCUGCUAUUGGGCAUGGUGAUCUUGGGGCUCUUGGAGCUGAGGCCAUCUGCACGGCAGCAAUCCUGCAUGUACCUUCAUGCCAGGUUUGCAACUUUGAACAGAUUCUUUUUUUUACGCUGAUAUCUCUUCCUGACUAGCUAUAUUUGCGUGUUUGUUGAUAGUACUAUCAGAUUUACAGAAUACAGUCAGAAUAUAUGCAGUUUUACAAAGUUGUCUCUCCACUGAAAUUAUAAUAACCAACCCCCAAAAUAGAAGGUGCAAAUGCCGUAGACUGAACUCUGGAUUUGAAGAACUCACAAGCCAUUUUCUUAAUCAAAUUACCAGCCAUGCAUAAUCUUCCACAAAAAUUACCACCAUCAAUUGUUAGCUCUAUAAGUUCUAACUCGUACGAAAAUGAGAUGGCCAAGGCAUUAUUAGACUAGUAAUCCCAACCUAACAUCUCCAUUUCUGUCCAAGUUGCGGGCCGUAGGCAUCCAUCUAGCGAAGGCAAACGUUCACAACUAGUAUACCAUAACAUAAAAGGCAUCAGAUCGACAAUGACACGAGUAGCUAAGGAUGAUUUUUUCGGUUGCAACCGCCUAGUAGUAUACUCGUGUAGACUAGUCUUAGGGCCAUCAAUAUGAUAUUGAUUGAUAUAUUUGAUAGUGCCACUAAUAGGACCUUGAUAUUUCUUCGGUCCACCAACCGAAAUCCCUUUCAGUACAAAGCCAAAAACGCUGGACAACCAGUUAAAAAAAGAAAGAAAGAUGAGAUCCAUGGACACUAGCAUCUGGACAUAUCGCUCCCGAGGGGAGUCGAACACCGGUCAAGGAUGCACUCGGGACAACCAGUUAUGUUUCAGUACCAUGCAUUGCAUGUUUCAGUCAGCAACAGUAGAUGUUUUCCAGGAACAUUCCAUCGAGCUGCCACUGCCAGCCAUGUGAACAUAUGAUGAUUCUGGCCUUGUCACACAGCAGAACCAGGAGGCGUGGAUCGCGACGAGUUGCAAUGAACUUCCCGAGCAGGUCUCGGCGAGCUCGUCGGCGGAGCCGAGCCUGUCGUCGUUCGUGGAGGUGUCGGACGUCUGCCCCGGCCUGAGCCGCAGCGGCAGCAGCAGCGUCGACGACGCCACCAACGCCGGGCACGAUCACCCUUCGCCGGCUGCGGCACCCGUGACAUUGCAGGCGCAAACGGCACCAGCUCAGGCGACCAAGAAGGUCGGCGGCUACGACGUGGUCUACCCCGACCGCGGCAAGGUGAUCUCGCGCUACAAGGAGAAGAGGAAGAACAGGAUGUACGUGAGAUAUAUAUAACCAGAGACCAAUGCCGCAACACCACCAGAGAUUUUCUUUAGCUCGCAGUGCUGAUUACUGGAUGGAUCUGAUUUGCUGCAGGUUCGGGAAGCAGAUCCGGUACGAGUCGCGCAAGGCCCGCGCCGACGGCCGGGUGAGGAUCAACGGCCGGUUCGCCAAGUCGAGCCAGUAGAUUUCAAGGACCGACGACGUGCUCUUGGUCUCCGUGGACGACGACGACGUUUCUGUACCCUACGUAGCGUGGGUGCAAGGGAGCUAGGGGACGGCGUCGCCAUGGCAGCUUGUCCUGGUGGUCGUACGUGCCAUCGCGGCACCACGUACUCGCCGUCUCAACGUGAUGUGACUGCGAGCUGCGAUAUGGUUCAGUUUNNNNNNNNNNNNNNNNNNNNNNNNNNNNNNNNNNNNNNNNNNNNNNNNNNNNNNNNNNNNNNNNNNNNNNNNNNNNNNNNNNNNNNNNNNNNNNNNNNNNNNNNNNNNNNNNNNNNNNNNNNNNNNNNNNNNNNNNNNNNNNNNNNNNNNNNNNNNNNNNNNNNNNNNNNNNNNNNNNNNNNNNNNNNNNNNNNNNNNNNNNNNNNNNNNNNNNNNNNNNNNNNNNNNNNNNNNNNNNNNNNNNNNNNNNNNNNNNNNNNNNNNNNNNNNNNNNNNNNNNNNNNNNNNNNNNNNNNNNNNNNNGCUAUGGUUCAGUUACUCUUUCCUUCUUUUGUUACCCACAGAUCGUGUGUAUGUCAUUGGGAUUGGGAUGCCUGUGCCCACACGUUUGAUGAUGGUGAAUUGGUGAUUUUUUUUUGGAAAAAAUUUCAAUCUAUUCAUCUUCAAUCAUGGCAGUACAACGAACACCAAAAAUAAAAAUUACAUCUAGAUCCGUAGACCACCUAGCGACGACUACAAGCACCGAAGCAAGCCGAAGGCGCGGCGCCGUCAUCGCCCCUCCAUCGCUGGAGCCGGACACAACUUGUUGUAGUAGAUAGUCGGGAAGUCGUCGUGCUAAGGCCCAAUAGGACCAGCACCCCAGAACAGCAACCGCCGCCGAUGAAAAAUAACGUAGAUUGGAAUGAUCCAAACUGAAGACACACGAACGUAGACGAACAACAACGAGAUCCGAGCAAAUCCACCAAAGAUAGAUCUGCCGGAGACACACCUCCACACGCCCACCAACGAUGCUAGACGCACCGCCGGAACGGGGGCUAGGCGGGGAGACCUUUAUUCCAUCUUCAGGGAGCCGCCGCCCUCUCGCCUUCCUGAGUAGGACACAAACCCUAACAAGAUUGAAAAAACAACAACUAAAAACGGAGCCCUUCCGCCGGCUCUUGCCAGGAUCCACCGCGCCUCCGUGGCCAUAGGGCCACCGGAGAUGAGGCGGACCUGCGCCGGCGCCGGCGAGAGGCACGAACCCUAACUUUCUUUCUUGGAGGAGGAGGAGGCGGAGCCCUGGCUCUAGGUACGUAAUUGGUGAUGUUUGUUAUCCACAAAGUCACCAGGGGCGCCUCAUAGUCGAUGGAAAUUUCUCCUCCCACUGAAGGAACAUUGACAGAAGGACUAGAAUAAAUCUAGUAAAAUGCGAGCACUAGUGCCAAGUUUAGGAUUUGAACCCUGAUGGGCUGGUUCCACCACAAGAAACCUAACCAUUUGAGUUACGCUCGCUUCGCCACACGAUUACACUCUUGCGCACACUGCUCGUCAGCAAAAAAAUAACUAGAUUGUUUAAAAAAAACUAAUAAAGAAGAAUAAAAUUCUAAAUCGAAAACACAUAAAAACAAAAACAGAAAAAACAAAGGUAGAGGCGGAAGGACUGGGUGUUCAGAUGGGCGACAUAGAGCUUGUUGGGUCGGACAAGCUAAUGGGCCAACCUGUUAAGGAAUUGAUAGACCCAAAAUAGAGAGGUCAGUCCAAAACAAUACACAUCACAAAGUAUAAAAAAAGGGAGCACAAAUCAUGAAGCAUCACCAACAGUCAGAAAAUAUCAACUGACCCAAAUUCUAUUUCCAGGCAAGUUACAUCUAGCUAAAAAUGAUAAAUUUAACCAUGGUAAAGCUUUUGUUUAGACCAUGGCAACUUCAUUACUUUAAUAGUGGCAAACUUUCUUGUUUUCACACCUUCAUGUUUUUACACCACCAAGGAAUCUUGUUAUUAACCAUCAUUCAUUUUCUUUAAACUAUUUUUUGGAACAUGACAAAUUUUAUGAUACAACAUGGUAAUUUGGCAAACAUUUUUUUGAAACAAUGACAAACUUUUAGUUCAGCAUAAUUUUGCCAAAGGUUCUUCUAUGUAUUUAAAUUUUUGGCACUUUUUUUGUAGUUUCAUAAUUGUUUUGAUCUAUUCGUACCGACACAGCUUUAAAACAUAUAAUUGCUAAGUUUUUAAAGUUCUGAUCCAUUUCUAGCAUGAUGGGAACUUAUUAUACAUGGUAAUUUAUGGAAAAAAUUGUGUAUUCAAAAUUAUGUAGACUUUUGGUACAAAUUCCAAUUUGAAGUUUUUUUAGGAGUCACAAACCUUGGGGCUUUUCAAUGUCAUUUUUGGUUGUGGUGUAAUGCUGACCGUUGGGGACAGGUGAGGCCCGUUUAAAAAGGCCAGUAGAGCUCUGGGGGAGGGUGUUCGUGCCAGGGGAUCUUUCGUAUCAGCUGCACGAGAGCUCCUCCCUAGCGCCUUAAGCGUUGGGAAGAGUAGCUGGCGCUCACGCUCCACCCCUCAUGCCUCAUGGAUUGGCCCAAUAAAAGGAGGCGGUCGCUGGUUCAGGGAGUCAUUGGUUUUCUAGGUUUGUGGUUGCAGUUGACUCUCGACUUUCAAGAAAAAAUGAUAAAAAAGAAUAAUGUUGACAAAAAACAAAAAGUUCACCAAAUUCAAACAAAGUUUGGGAUUUUGAAAAAAAGUUCACCAAUUUAAAAGAUGUUCAUCCAUUUUUAAAAAUUUGCCAAUUUAGAAAAAGUUCAUCAAUUUAGAAAAACGUUCACAGAUUUUCUAACAAAAGUUCAUGAAUUUGAAAAAACAAGAAUUUUGAAAAAAAUAUCACAGAUUGGAAAAAACAGUUCAUGGAUAUGAAAAAGUUCGUAAAUUUUGAAUAAAAAUCAUGAAUUUAGAAAAAUAUCACUUAUUUUGAAAUAAAAUCAAGAAUGUUAAAAAAGGUUGUCGAUUUAAAAAAUACUAAUUUGAAAAAAAAAUGUGGUUUGAAAAAAUUGUUUAUUUAUAUGAAAAAAAAUCACAAUUUUGAAAAAACUUUGCACAUACAAAAAAUAGAAUAGAAAAAAUAAAAAGGAAGAAGGAAAAAACGAAAAGAAAAAUAAAAAGGAAAGAAAAGAGAAAUAAAACAAGAAAAAACAGUCUAGAAAACCAAGAAAAAAAAUGGACGUCGAUAUUGAACGAACGUUCGGUCUGGGGAGGAGCCAGACCGAACGACUCGUUCGGAAGAAGGCAGUCCAUCGAUCAGUUUGCAGCCCAGUUUGGGCCAAAAAACUGUGACCAAAAUAAGCCCACUUUUGCCGAUGGAUAAUAAAGGCCAGAAUUUGCCAUACUCUGAAAUAUAUUGGAAUGAUCGAAAAAUAAAUUUGUCAUGAUAGAUAGAAAAUAAAAAACAAGAUACCACUAAAAUACCCAAUGGAUUCAAACAAAAAAUUGCCAUCAUCUUUAUAAAGCAAAAAAUGCCAUGGUCAAAAAAGAUUGCAAAUGGCACAAGAGAAAGGUUCAUGGGGAAAAAAAUCACAUGAACGGCGGAAAAAAGGCAAAAAAUUGCCGUCAACGUAAGGUACUUUUUUUUGCUAUGGGAAAUAAAAGUAAAAUUUGUCAUGCUCCACAGAAGUAAAUUUGCCAUGAGUGACAGUAUGUAAAUUUGCCAUGUAUGUUAAAUAAAAAUUUCCAUGCCAAUAAAGUUAAAUUUCCAUGCCAAUAAAGGUUAAAUUUGCCAUGGUGAAUUGGUGAUGUUUGUUAUCCACGAAGUCACCAGGGGCGCCUCAUAGUCGAUGGAAAUUUCUCCUUCCACUGAAGGAACAUUGACAGAAGGACUAGAAUAAAUCUAGGAAAAUGCGAGCACUAGUGCCAAGUUUAGGAUUUGAACCCUGGUGGACUGGUUCCACCACAAGGAACCUAACCAUUUGAGUUACGCUUGCUUCGCCACACGAUUACACUCUUGCGCACACUGCUCGUCAACACAAAAGUAACCAGAUUGUUUGAAAAUAAAAAUAAAGAAAAAAAAACACAUAAAAACAUAAAAUAGAAAAAACAAAGGGAGGGUGGGAAGGGUUGGGUGUUCAGAUGGGCUACAUAGAGCUUGUUGGAUUGCAAAAGCUAAUGGGCCGACCUGUUAAGGAAUUGAUAGACCCAAAAUAGAGAGGCCAGUCAAAAAUUUCCAGUCCAAAACAAGACACAUCACACAACAGAAAAAAAGGGAGCACAAAUCUUCAAACAUCACCAACAGUCAGAAAAAUCGACUGGUCGGAAGCUUUGGAGAAAUUCAAAGUCUAUAAAGCUGAGGUUGAAAAUCAGCUGAACGCAAAAAUCAAAGUUGUACGGUCUGAUCGCGGGGGAGAGUAUUAUGGUAGGCAUGCUCCUUAUGGGCAGAUUCCUGGACCCUUUGCCAAGUUUUUAUCUGAAAAUGGAAUCAUUGCUCAAUACCCAAUGCCUGGUGAACCACAACAAAAUGGUGUAGCUGAGCGUCGCAAUCGCACCCUUAUGGUGCGAAGCAUGCUUAGUCACUCGACUUUAUCAGUAAGCCUUUGGAUAGAGGCAUUAAAGAUAGCUGCACACAUACUAAAUCUUGCUUCAACUAAGUUAGCACCGAACACACCUUACGAGAUGUGGGCGGGAAAGAAACCGAGCUUGAAUUACUUACGGGUGUGGGGUUGCCCUGCCGAAGCUAAAGUUUUCAAUCCACAACUUAAGAAAUUGGAUCCAAAAAACAGUUAGUUGUUUCUUCGUUGGAUACCCUCAUAGGGAAAAGGGAUAUUGUUUUAUUUGUCCAAGUCACACCACCAAGUUUGUGGAGACUAGGCAAGCGGUAUUUUUUGAGGAUAAUAAGGUCACAAAUUUAAGGGAGAUCGAUCUUGAAGAGAAGUGGGUUUGUGCACCGUCCCCGAUUAGCCAAGAGAUUGUUCUUCCAAUACGAAGAAAUGUGACAUUUGAUGAUCCUGAAUCUCACGGUUCAGUUUCUCAGUCAAAUGGUGAUCCGGAGACUAAUAAUGAAAAUCCAGACACAAAUGAGGACCACCAGGAAAAUAAUGAUCCUCAAAAUGAUGAUGUACCACCACCACCUCCUCCCGGUAUGAGAGGAAGAAAGCCAUAUGAGAUGAUUAUGUCACCUUCAUGAUUGAUGAUAUGAAUGAUAUGGGAAAGGUGGAGGAUCCAACCUCUUAUAAGGAAGCCACUAAAAGCGAAAAUUCGUCCCAAGUGGUUGGUUUCCAUGGAAGACGAGUUGAAAUCUAUGGGCUCAAACGACGUUUGGGACUUAGUAGAAGUUCCCGAUGGAGCUAAGAAAGUAGGCUCCAAGUGGGUCUACAAAACCAAGUAUGAUUCCAAAGGGAAUGUCGAACGACUCAAGGCAAGGCUAGUGGCAAAAGGGUAUACAUAGAUAGAAGGAAUUGACUAUAAGAAAACCUUCUCUCCUGUGCCAACGAAGGAUUCUUUCAGAAUCAUAAUGGCAUUAGUAGCUCAUUACGACCUAGAACUACACCAAAUGGAUGUUAAAACGACAUUUCUAAAUGAUGACCUAAAAGAAAACGUUUACAUGGCUCAGCCGGAAGGUUUUGUUGUGGAAGGGAAGGAACAUUUAGCAUGUCGUCUAAAGAAAUCAAUUUAUGGCUUGAAGCAAGCUUCAAGAGAGUGGUACCUCAAGUUUUAUAAAAUUAUCAAAACUUUUGGUUUCACCAAAAAUUUUGUGGACAACUGCAUAUAUGUUAAGUUUAAAGGCAGUAAGUUCACAAUUUUAGUCCUAUACGUUGAUGACAUAUUGUUGGCAUGUAGCGAUAAGGAUACGCUGCAUGAGACCAAGAAUUUUUUGUCAUCCAAUUUGGAUAUGAAAGAUCUUGGUGAAGCCUCGUAUGUCCCCGACAUCGAGAUUCAUCGAGACAGGUCCAAAGGAACGAUGGGACUAUCUCAAAAGGCAUACUUUGAGAGAGUGCUGAAGAAAUUCAAUAUGCAUAAGUGCUCACCCUCACCUGAUCUUAUAGUUAAGGGCGAUAAGUUUGGGACAUUUCAAUGUCCGAGGAACCAGUAUGAAACUGAUCAGAUGAAGUCGGUUCCUUAUGCUUCAGCUAUCGGAAGCAUCAUGUAUGCUCAAGUGUGUACACGCCCUGAUUUAUGUUUUGUAACCGGGAUGCUUGGCAGAUACCAAUCAAAUCCAGGACCGGACCACUGGAAGGCCGCAAAGAAAGUCUUGCGUUAUAUGCAAGGAACUAAAGAUUUCAUGCUUACAUAUAAAAGAACUGAUAACCUAGAAAUUGUUGGUUAUUUAGACUCUGAUUUUGCCGGGUGUGUGCAUAGUAAGAGAUCCACAUCAAGUUAUAUAUUCACACUCGUGGGGGGGGGGGGCUAUAUCGUGGAAAAGCUCCAAACAAACGUUAACUGCUGGAUCUACGAUGCAAGAAGAAUUUGUAGCAUGUUUUGAGGCUACCGGGCAGGCUGUAUGGCUAAAGAAUUUUAUUCCCGGACUUAAAGUGGUUGACAACAUAUCUAAACCAAUUUUAUUAUACUGCGAUAAUGAACCCAUAGUUUUCUAUACAAGUAACAACAGGUCAAGUGAUGCGGCCAAACACAUUGACAUCAAGUAUCGUGUUGUGAAAGAUAGAAUCCAGGAUCAAACAGUUGAUGUUAAACAUAUAAGAACGAAGCAUAUGCUUGUGGAUCUGUUAACUAAAGGUUUACCACCCAGUAUUUUUCAUGAGCAUGUUGCCGGCAUGGGAUUACUGGAAGCCUUAUGAUUCUGGAAUGAGAGGACCAUUAAAAUAAACCACUCCCCAAUUAGUAAAAUGUUUUGCAUUUCGAAAUAGGCGGGUGUGCUAUAAGUGUUGGAGUUCUAUGGCGUUUCGAGCCGUUGUAACACCUCACUUUGGUACAUCAUUCUUAUAUAGAAUGGUCGAAUGAAGUUAAGCCUAACGAUCAAGAGAGAGAAUGUUGGUUCGAUCUGACGGCUAAAGCAGGCCAGUUAGAUCUAUUAGUCUAACCGAAAAAAGGUAAACGGAUAGCGAGAAGUGAAGGGGUCCACGCACCAACGUACGUGAGCCUCGAUCAGGACUAACUCGCCCUGAUGGGGGGCGCUCAAAAACCAACUCAAGUUUUGGGUCCCCUGUCGCCGACGCUAUAUUAAAGGAUACGGGAGAGAGCUGGCACCUGUGUGAUCACAAUUCACGUAAGGUUUUUUCUCCUCCCGAUUUUUUCACCCCAUCCGAUCAGGGGGAGCGCUGCAGUGACGGGAAGACCUAAGUCGGCGGCCGCAGCUGUCCCAGGCCAGUGCCGGUGGCGUCCGGAGGAGAACCUCUACCUCGACUACAUCACCCCUCGAUCACGCCUGCACCAAGCAGACGAUCAUGUCGACUUCCGUGACAUGUAACGAUCCCCUAAACCCUUCUCCUCUGUUCAUGCUUUUAAGGUGAUCUAGAUGCAAUCAGUUCCUGCUAAUGGCAUCCUAGAGAUGUAUUAGAUCCAACAACAUGCACUGCAAUUAAUCCAAAUUAAUGCAUAAGUUUAGUUGAAGUAGUUUUGUAAAGUACGAGAUAUAUUCCUCCACUCACAAAAUGCCAUGGUUGAUGAGAUUUCAGAUUUGAGCCUCUAAACCGAAAAGGAGGGAGUAAUGCCUUCACAGAUACCCUGCCAAACCUGAGAUGGAGCAUUGCCCAACUGCGCGUCCAUGAAGUCUCCAUGGAAAUCAGGGUCCUGAAGUAAGCGCCAUGCGUGUUUAUUGUCGUACGUUUGCCUAGUCUCACGCAUGCACUCCACUCCUGGUUUGUAGGAUCUCACGUAGGCCAUCUGUAGAGGGCAUACGGUUAGCCUCUCCUUCUCACGCAUGUAUGCUUGUAACCAUGCACACAUUCAGUUUAACUGCCGCGUUCGUCGCUAAUCCCAUUUCCCACAAACCCCCUGCCCCCUCGCUGCGCAGCCCAACCACUCCGCCCCCAUCGAGCCCAGGGCGAGGAGCUAGCGUUUCCCGCACCGAUCGAUGGCCGUCGCCGAAAAUGUGCCGCCCUCGCCGUCGCCGCAGACGCCGCCGACGCCGCCACCGCCGCCGCGGAUCGUCGUCGCGGCGCUGGCGCUCAUGCGCUCUGCCCUCGUGCCGAUGCUGGCGGUCCGGCGCGCCCUCCGCAUCGCGGCCAGGGUCUUCCCCUACGUGGCAUUCGCGCUCGCGUGGGCCAUCUCCGCGGCCUCGGCUGCCAAGAUCGUGGCGCGCCGCGCCUGGGGCGAGGGCUCCGCCCCCUUCCUCUUCCUCCGGGCGCUCACGUCCGCUGCCUGCAAGGUCUGCACCUACGGCUUCCUCGUCCUACUCGUGCUCGCCGUCCUGCUGUUGUGCGGCCUGUGCGUGGCGUACGUAAUCGCACUUCUAUCUGGACGCGGUACAGAAUUCAAGAAGGUAUCUCAUGCAAAUCAACUCCCUAUCACAUUUCUUCUGGCCGAAUUACAGCACUAUACACGCUAGUGGCAGUGGAUGAAGAGCGGUAGUGUAUCCAUUUGAGUUCAUCACUUCAUCUGCAAAUAUACUCAUGCCCAUCCAUGUGUUUUUGUUGAAAUUGUUGUGCUCCUCAGCGUGCCCUGGGAGCAAUCACGUGGGAUUCGGUUGCGAACUCGUUUAGGCUACCCCGCAUGGCGGUGCUUGGGUUCAUCACAGUUGUGCCCUUCUUCGUGCUAGUUGUCGCCGGCCUUUUGUUGGCAAUGAUGUCGCAUGUGGAGGGAUCGGUAUCUCGGGGAGAAAUGGUAGGUUUUGUAAUCGUGGAUGUGGGGUUUUUUGGAAUGCACGCGACGUCUUGCAUUCUUAUCAUCCCAGCUCUAGCACUUGGCGCCUGGAGGUCCGACCAGGCGGACAGGAAAGCACAGUCGCAGUCUUGUUGAGGUACCUCUUCCCCUUUGCUUUGAAAUACGCACUUCAAUUGGAACGAUAUUAUGGCGCAUGAAAGUGGUUUUUCAGCUCCCGGGUGCCCCUACACCCUCUAUGAACAGUAAAUUCACAAAAUAUAAAAAACAAUUCUGAAACUUUGCAACAUCAAAUAUGAUCAAACCUUAUAGGUUCUUGCAAGUUUCAUGCAAAAAAAAACAUUCGAGGAGCUUUACAAUAGAAAAAGAUUAAAGUGCUUGAAGUUUUGAGCACUUUUAGCGCACUGAAAUCUGAAACUCGUGCAUACACCUUCCUCUACAUGAUAUUUUGUUAUGAAAACUUGCAAGAACCUACACAGUUUGAUCAUAUUUGAUGUCACAAAGUUUACGAUCUUUUUGAUUGUUUUCUAUUUUUUUUAAUUUUACUGUUGAUAGAGGGUGUAGGGGCACCCGGGAGCUAUAACAUCUUUCUCUAUGGCGCAUAGAUACAUGGAAUCAUUCAUCUUAGUUUACUGAUUACUCGUGUUGAUAUUUGUUAAGAUGGAGUGUUCUUGUAUAUAAAACUGAUCGAUGAGGAUUCUGCUAUUUCCUCUGGUCAUUGCAUACUAGCAUUCAUGAUAAAAUUUGGAUUGUCAUGGAUCUUAUAUUUGUGAGAGUAGCCAGCUGAUGCAAUUCUACCAUAUGCUUUUAAUUUGUUACGAAGUAAUGAUAAUAUAAAUGAUCAUUUCCAUGUAUUAGAAAAAUAAUAAUAUUAAUUUCUUACCCUCCAUCGCCCCCUGUGAUUGUUGUAUCUUUGCAGCGAGUGAGAUUAUAACAAUGUUUGCAUGCCUCUAAACUGUCGCGAACACAUUUCUUGAGAGCUCUCGUCAUUGAUAAUUACUCCAUUGAAACCGUAAUGGAAAGACCCAAUGUUUUCAAGUUUUGCCUAUGGCAUAUGAGUAUACUCUACAUGGCUUCUUUUGGCAACUGUGACUUUAUGCCAUGUUCUGUGACUCCGGUAAACAGAAGUGUACUGUUUGAUCAUGUAAAUAGAUAAAAUGACAGUAAAAUGGCACACCUCUAGUCCAUCUACAAUUAUCAACUUCAAUUUGGCGCUAUGCCCACUACAUUUUGGUAGAAGUGCCAUUGUGUCUCUGUCCCCUGUUCUAUGACCCAGUUUAAUGCUUUCUUAUACUUUACUAAAAAGAAGUAAACUGUUUGAUCGUGUAAAUAAAUGGCAUGACAGUAAAUGGACGCACAUCUAGUACUUUAAGGUGGUGCCAUGCCACUACAUUUGUAGGCGUUCCUUUGAGAACUAAUUUCUGGCGAUGCAAGUUCGUAUCAUCAAUUGUGUGUUUUAUAGCACUACCAACUGAAAGGACAAGACCAAAUCGAAUUCAAUAACAUUUCACAAGGUAGAAGUUACUUCAUUGCUGGAAAAUGAGUGGCAUAACCUUUAGAUUAUAGUACUUGAAACUAUAUUAUUAGAUGCUUAAUGUUGAUAUGUCAAUGUUCUUUAUUAUGUGGUAUAAUUUGAUCAAAUCUUUGGUUGGGUUAUGUAUUGGCAGACGAAGCUAAGAAGAGAAGAUGUCCGGAGAAUGUGGCAAGGAGCUACAGUGCCCAUUCCUGUGAUGGUUGUGAGUGAUCCCAAUAGACACAAGUUUUCAGAGGAAAAAGAGUCUUUGCAAACUUGCUUCUUUCUACUAUUAGUAGAUCCUAAUCGUCAUUAGCCAUGAAAUUUUUGUAGACUUGCUUAUUUUUGCUAUUACUAGAUCGUAACUGUCAAUCUUCAUGAAGUUUGUUGGGUCGUUAUGGGUCUGGUGAUGAUGUUAAGUAUUGGUGUAAUUAUUAGUUAUCAGUUUAAAUAAAAAGGAAGAAGAUAUGAUUAGCUUUUGCAAUUGUAUUUAAUAUUUAGUACUCCUUCUGGAUGGGAAUAUAAGUUUGGCACGGGAACUUAGGUGGUCAAUUUAACAAGUGGAACAUAUAUAAUAUGCCAAAAGAAGUAUGUUUAGAAACUUCUUUCGAGGAUGUAUCUGAACAUAUAUUUUUUAAUUUUUUAUGAAAAUCAAUUUUUUGCUCAUCAAAGCGAAGACCUACAAACCUGUGUCUGAAUUGUAUUAACACUCAGAGGGAGUAAACAAUUUGGCUUUGGACAUACAAACGGGUAUGUCACUUAGGUGAGUCGAUGGAAACCAACACCUGAACCAGCAGUCAGCUCCGUCUAAGUCAAACCAAGCCACUUUCUUGAGAGCUCUCAUCAUUGAUAAUUACUCUAUUGAAACCGCAAUGGAAAGACCUAAUGUCUUUAAGUUGGCAUAUGAGUAUGGAAGAGGAUUUGUAGCACCUGGGUGCUCCCCACCCCUAUAUGAACAUUAAGUUCAGAAAAACACCACGAAAUUAAAAAAACAUGUGGGAUUUGGGGAUAUGAAACCUGGGUGCUCAAUCUACUUUCAUGUGAAAUUUUGUGAAAAAAAUACCUGGAAACGUAUCCGUCGCAAAAAAGACAAACAAUUCCUAUGUUGAAAAAAACCCUGUUUGGAUGGGUUUUAGUUCGGAUUGUAUUUUCUUCGCCACGGAUACAUUUCCUGGUAUUUUUCUACGAAACUUCAUACGGGAGUAGAUUAGGCACCCAAGUUCGAGAUCCCAAGAUUAAGGAUUUUUUUAAAUUUUCCUGGUAUUUUUUGAAUUUAAUUUUUGUAUAGGAGGUCGAGCACCCAUGUGCUCCUGUGUAUUUUCCAUAGGAGUAUACUCUACUUGGCCGCUUUUGGCAAUUGUGACUUUGUGCCAUGUUCUGUGACUCUGGUAAACAGAAGUGUACUAUUCGAUCAUGUAAAUAGAUAACAUGACAGUAAAACAGCACACUUCUAGUCCUUUUAACGAUUACCAACUUCCAUUUGGCGCUAUGCCCACUACAUUUUGGUAGAAGUGCCAUUGUGUCUCUGUCCCCUGUUCUAUGACUCAGUUUAAUGCUUUUUUAUAGUUUAGUAAAAAGAAGUAAACUGUUUGAUCGUGUAAAUAAAUAACAUGACAGUAAAUGGACACACACACAUCUAGUACUUCAAGGUGGUGCCAUGCCACUACAUUUUGGUAGACGUUCCUUUGAGAACGAAUUUCUGGCGUUGCAAGUUCGUGUCAUCAGUUGUGUGUUUUUUAGCACUCCCGACUGAAAGGACAAGAACAAAUCGAAUUCAAUACCAUUUCACAAGGUAGAAGUUACUUCAUUGCUGGAAAAUGAGUGGCAUAACCUUUAGAUUAUAGUACUUGAAACUAUACUAUUGGAUGCUUAAUGUUGAUAUGUCAAUGCUCUUUUAUGUGGUAUAAUUUGAUCAAAUCUUUGGUUGGGUUAUAUAUUGGCAGACGAAGCUAAGAAGAGAAGAUGUCCAGAGAAUGUGGCAAGGAGCUACAGUGCCCAUUCCGCUAAUGGUUGUGAGUGAUCCCAACAGACACAAGUUUUCAAAGGAAAAAGAGUCUUUGCAAACUUGCUUCUUUCUACUAUUAGUAGACCCUAAUCAUCAUUAGCCAUGAAACUUUUGUAGACCUGCUUAUUUCUGCUAUUACUAGAUCGUAACCGUCAAUAGUCAUGAAGUUUGUUGGGUCAUUAUUGGUCUGGUCAUGAUGGUUGAUGCUACCCCGUGAAGUAUUGGUGUAAUGAUUAGCUUUCAGUUUAAAUAAAAAGAAAGAAGAUAUGAUUAGCUUUUGCAAUUGUAUUUAAUAUUUAGUACUCCUUCUGGAUGGGAAUAUAAGUUUGGUCAUUAUGGGCACGGGAACUUAGGUGGUCAAUUUAACAAGUGGAACAUAUAUAAUAUGCCAAAAGAGAUCUAAAAAAAUGCCAAAAGAAGUAUGUUUAGAAACUUCACUCAACGAUGAAUGUAAAACUAUUUUUUUAUUUUUUUAUGACAAACCAAUUUUUUGCUAAUCAAACCAAAGACUUACACACUUGUGUCUGACUUGUUCACACCCGGAGGGAGUAAACAAUUUGGCUUUGGAUAUACAAAUGGGUAUGCCACUUAGGUGAGUCGAUGGAAACCAAAAACCUGAACCAGCGGUCAGCUCCGUCUAAGUCAAACCAAGCCAUUUUCUUGAAGGACCCCGAUCCAACUCCAUCCGCUGCGCCUCCAACUCCAAAACCCUAAUUCAAAGGUAAGUAGUGGGAUGAAGUACUGUUGACACGAGAUAAGUAGUGGGACGAAGUAGUGUUGAUACGAGAUGUGCUUUGGCCCGUAGAUGCCGAGCGAAUAUUUAGGAUUUCCUUCACCAAAUCGACAAAAGAAUUUCUUCUUGUUCAGCCCCACUCCAAGACUAAAGUGUUGACAGUAAAAUAAGCUUAUUUAUGUAGAACCGAGCAUCAACACAGAUAGGCCGACAUCAAGUCGACCCAUACUAAUCAUGUGUUGGUACAAGUUGUGGAAGUUACAUGUUAUAUCCAAGGUGUAGAUAUUCAUGUAGAAGGCUUCGCAUGGCACUCUACCAUUCCGUGCUAUCCUAGCAAAUCGACUACUUAAGGUCGGCGCACAAUGGCCGGUAUGCCAGCAUGGAAUAGGGGAUUUGUGAUGUUCUAUUCACCUGUGGUCGAACUAGUACAUCUAUUUGGUAAGCCCGAGGACUCCAACCGUUAAUUAAGGAAGUGUCCCAAGUUGAUACAACAUGGAAAGUGUUGCUGGAACAUUUAAUUUGUGAUGCAAAUUACAAAUCGCUGGUCCUUGGCCAUGCAUAACUUCAAACUAUGAUUGUAGUUUGUACUUGGAACAUUUGGUGGAGAGAAGAAAACAUGUGAACGGAGAGAGAGUUCAAUCCCCUAAUAGAUCGACUAUGUUAAUUACAGUGCUAACAGAGGACAUGCCCGGGAACGACCAUUGAAGGGCAUGGUGAAGUUGAAUACAACACUUCCUUUGAUGAGGCUACAUUAAUCUGUCCCAUGGGUGCCAUUGUGCCAGACCCUAAAGGCUUCUUCAUCGGAGCAUCAAACCAUCUAAUAAUUGUGCAUGCCCAACCGCCUUAGGCCACGCCAUAGCUAGGUAAUUAAUCAGUGGCGUUCCGUGUACCUGAUGCACCAAUUAUGUCCGCGAAUGGGUAGGUUAUUGGGCCCACACAUCUGCCGCGUAGCCUCCUGCUCACACGCCACCAGUAAUAGGAUAGUGGUCGCAUACGAAAUAUACCCAUGCCAUCACAAUUUCAAAAAAAUAGUAGUGGUGUGGAUAGAAAAUGGCGCGCCACCAAUUAUGAUUAUGUGUAAGUAUUUAUGCACUAGUGUCAAAAUCAGGUACAAUCGACAUUGCCUCCUCCUCAUGCUCUACUGUAGGUUCCUAUCAUAGUCUUGCAUCGCCAUGCUUGUCAGGGUCACCGUACUAUCCCACAAGUUCUCAUCCAAUGGUGUGGGACGGAUGCAUCAGAUGCUACUUGGGAAGAUUUGGAUUCAUUGCGCCAACAAUUUCCUCGAUCAAAGGCUUGGGAUCAAGCCAGUACUCAAGAAGGGGGGAUUGUCAACGACGCCAACUCUAAUUCAAUUAUUGGGCCGGCGGCCCAGCCCAGACGCGAAGCUAAACUACCAGCUCGGCUUGCAGGCCGAGAAUGGGUCCACUAAACCCCGUAAAAGCUCAUUACCUAAUAUACUAGUCUAGUCGUAGGGAUCAACUUGGCGAAGAAGGAAUUGGCCUUUCGGUCGGCUUGUAAUUCAGUACUAGAACAGAGGUGGGAGAGGUCGGGAGGAAUUUAUCUAGUAAUACAACUAGUUCGUCUACAUAGCCGUGGAAUCAAGCUUCUAGCCUAGUUUGAUCCUCUGGAUCGUGAGUAGCACCGACAUGUAGACAUACCUAUGCAGACAAACGAAGACUGAAUCCAAACAGAUCCACCGCAAACAAACACCGAUCGAAUUCCAUGAGAUCUGUUGGAGACACACCUCCACACGUCCUCCUGUGACGCUAGGGACACCACAAGGACGUGGCUAGACAGGGCGAACCUUAUUCCAUAUUCAGGGUGCCAUCGCCGCUUCGCCUUACUGGGUAGGACACAAACCCUAGAAAAACACAAAAAACACCUAAAAGGAAGAAGGAGCCCUCCCUCGGCGAGGGUCGGGAUCCACACGUUUCCAUGGCCCUAAGGCCACAAUAGACGAGGCAGAUCGGCCGCCUUACUGGUAGGAGGCGGAAAACCUAGUUGGAGCCGCAAAUGUCCACACUAAAUAAAGAGGGUCGGGUGGGAGAACACAAGCAGGCUAAACGUUUGGCAUUGCAUUAUGUUACUAUAAUCUUGCUUGACUAAAUGCAAAUUUUGUUGUUUUGUUACCCAACUCUUCUAUGCUUCAUGCAUAUAUAUUUUCCAUGGUGGACUUUAAGUUCAAUGCAUCACUCGUCAACCACAACUAUUCAUUUUUAUGUUCGGGUGGAUAACAAUAGAAGAAAUCAGUGCAACGUAUUUCGGCUAGGACAAACUAAGCUAACACCUGCCUUCACUCCAUGUGGCAGUGCCAUUAUUACUAUGGCAUAGUCAAACAUUACCAGUUCACCAUUAGGCAUGUGUAACAGAAUAAUAGUCAAUUUAUGUUUUACGGUUGGGAGAAUUGUUUUUCUCAUGUUUCCUCGUGACUAUGAUUUCUCUCCUCCCGAUGUGAGUUCCAAUAUCCCAUGCGAGUCCAUCUUCUCCCCCGACUACGCUUGCUNNNNNNNNNNNNNNNNNNNNNNNNNNNNNNNNNNNNNNNNNNNNNNNNNNNNNNNNNNNNNNNNNNNNNNNNNNNNNNNNNNNNNNNNNNNNNNNNNNNNNNNNNNNNNNNNNNNNNNNNNNNNNNNNNNNNNNNNNNNNNNNNNNNNNNNNNNNNNNNNNNNNNNNNNNNNNNNNNNNNNNNNNNNNNNNNNNNNNNNNNNNNNNNNNNNNNNNNNNNNNNNNNNNNNNNNNNNNNNNNNNNNNCUUGCCGGGCUUUCGUGGUGCUCCGGAGACCGAGACGUUAGGUGUUGCGAUUAGGGUUUUGGUGUGCAAGCGAGUUCCUCAUCUAGAGACAGGGGUAGCGAUAAUCCGAGGAAGAACAAGGAUGGUCAUAUAUAUCAUUGAAAUGCUCAAGCUAAUGGGAUUGGAGGAACAUGAAUUCGAUUUCUUGUUUCUGAAGAUGAGAUUUUUGUGCCACAUGGAGUCAAGUGGAUGGCAGUGGCUAGGGGGUUCAUACCCAUAACCACUUUACAGUCCAGGUUUUCAUCAUGAACAUGAAUAUAGCUUGGAGUCCAGGUUACGAGGUGAAGAUUAGGGUGUGAGGAAAGUGUGCCCCGGAACAUGUUCGUUCUAAUAUCUGUACCGUCUUGUUGGGGAUAACCCAGUUUCAGGAACUAUAUUCAAAUAGUGUUGCAAUUCAAUGUAAUUUACUGACGUGAAUAAUAGUCAAUUAUGCACAUAUGAGAAUUGCUUGCCGUUGGUACGAACAAAACUUGGGCAACUAUAUAACAAUGUAUACGCCUCGGAGUUGAGGCAUGCCUUCAAUGCAAACAAUCCGAAGAACAGUACAAAGAAAUGUUAACCCACAAGAAUUGAUUUCAAAAUCAAAAUACUUAAGAGGUAACCCUUCCUUUUAAACAUUUGUAGUUAUAGAUUCAAGAUCACCACCUCUUAUUUUAAAGCGUAAGCUACAUAAGAUAUGAGCUUUGCCUACGAAAUAUCCACACGACAAGAAUGAACAUACUCCACAGAAUUGUAGUGCAGACCACUGCAAACACAACAUUAAUUCUAUGAUAACUGUCACAGGACCAACCAAUUCCGAAGAACUAGUAGCCAUCCAACAUAAAGCUGCAAACAUGCCAAAUUAUAUACGCCUAGAAAAGCACUGUCCUCCGAGAGGGUGCUACCCCUCACCGUCUGGUCAUGUAUUCGGCUUUUCCAGCAGCAAGUAAACACUAAAACAACUUCUCUGGCAUGGCCCCCCUGAGGGCACGUCGGAGACGCCAGUCGGCCGUGUCACCCCCACCUCGACCUCAUUGUGCUCUGCUUAUUCUCCAACAUUUAAUUGAAUCUGCAAAAAAUUGAAACGAUCCAUCGCUGCAUACCCGGUUAGAACUUUUAGAUAGGCGGGUGUAAAAUCUGAAAAUGCCAAUAGAGCCCGAGAUACAGGGAGCUCGUUUUUCAAAUUCAAAUUUCCACAGCACAAAAUUUUCGAAUUUAUUUAUGGACACACAUACACAUGUAUACUACGUAUGUGCAAAAUUUCAUAGCAUUAUACUUUCACACGUGGCAUGCAAAAAAAUAGAAACAUGCAUUUUUAAAUGGGCCUUUUCUUUUUGUUGUUGGGCCGUAUUUUUUGUUUUUUUGUGUAGUCUACAAAUCACAAUAUUUUGAAACGAAAUUUAACAAGUUCUUAUGGAAUAAAUAUAUGUUUCCAUGAAAAUUUUCAGAUUUUUUUGAAACUUUUAAAUAUGCGUUUUGAUUUUCUUUUUUAAAUACCAGCUCCCUGGAGUUCGGUCUUCAAAACUUCACAGUCGCAAACGGAGGAGCUCGCCUCGCGGCAAAGAAAAAUCCUCCCGUGCUCAUCGCUAGUCCCCAUUUCCUCCCCUCGCUCCGCCAACCCAAGUACCCAACCACUCACACUCACACUCCCACCAACCACUCCCACUCCCACUCCGCGUCUCCGCUCCCAUCGAAGGCGGAAGCUUCCAGGAGCUAGGGUUUUCCGUACCGAUGGCCGUCGCCGACGCGGUGCUGCCCUCGCCGCCGCAGAUCGUCGUCGCGGUGCUGGCGCUCGUGCGCUUCGUCCUCGACCCGCUGCCGGCGCUCGGGCGCGCCCUCCCCGUCGUGGCGGGGGUCCUCCGCUACCUUUGCUUCACCGUUGCGUGGAUUCUCUCCGUGGCCGAGGCUGCCAAGGUGGUGGCGCGCCGCGCCUGGGGCGAGGGCCCCGCCUCCUUCCUCUUCCUCAAGACGCUCACGGACUGGGCUUUCCUGGUCUUGGCCUGCAGCUCCCUUGUCUCGCUCGCGCUUGCCGCGCUGCUCUUGUGCGUCCUCUGCGUGGCGUCCGCGGUUGCAGUUCUAUCUGGAUCCGGUUCAGAAUUCAAGAAGGUAUAUCAUGCAAAUUAACUCAAUCUAGUAACAUUUAUUCUGGCCGAAUUACAACACUAGUAGAUCAGCAGAUGAGUAGCAGUAGUGCUAGUGUUCCAUUUGAGUUCAUCACUUCGUCUGCAUAAAUGCUCAUGCCCAUCCAUGUGGCUUUGCUGAAAUUGUCGUCCUUAGGGUGCCUUGGGAGCAAUCAAGUGGGAGUUGGCUCCAGACUCGUACAGGCUACCCCGCGUUGUGGUGCUUGGAUUGAUCGCAGAUGUGUCAUUCUUCCUCCUAUUUGGCGCCGGUCUUCUGUUAGCGACGUUGUCGCAUGUGGAGGGAUCGAUAUCUCACGGAGAAAUGGUCGGUUCUGUACUCAAGGAUGUGGGGAUAAUUGGUUUCAACGCAAUAUCCUGCUUUUUUGUCAUUCCAGCUCAAGCACUUGGUGCCUGGAGGCAGGACCGGGCGGACAGCAAAGCACCAUCGCAAUUUUGUUGAGGUAUAUACAUAGAUCUCUUCCCCUUUGCUUUGAAAUGUGCAUAUCAAUUCAAAAGAUCACCAAGUAGAUAAUUAUACUCCUAUAUAUAUGACCACAAGGCUCAAGCAAUACAACGAACAAUUUCACCAAUCCUUUUUCUCCCUUCUAACAUGGUAUCUAUCGCAAUUCGAUCCUAAACCCUAGCCGCCGCCGCUUCCGCACCUACGCUCCGCCCCUGGGGCGGUCGGCCUCCAUGACCGCUGCCGGGGGCCGCGCCGCCCGUACCUAGGAUUCGUCCGCCGGCCGUGUUGGCCAGCUGCCCUAGAGAGUCUUUUUCCCGAGCCCUUGCUCCGGGUUUUUUCGCUCUCUCGCUAGUCGUUUUGACCGGCGUUUUUCUUUUUUGGUUUUCCGAUCAAUUCUUGAUCGGUUUGCGCCGCCCGCCGCCGCCGUCGACCCCCGUGCGCCUCUACUCCGACCCGGCGCGACCAACCGGCCUCUCCUCCGACCCGGCGGCCAUGCGCGCCGAGGCGGCCCGUCAGGGCCAGCCGCCGUCGGCGCGUCGGUCCGCCCAUCGCCCUGCGCCGGCCGUCAACGCCCUGCUCCGACUGGGACACCUGCAUCGCCCCGACCCGGCGGCCUCGCACCAAGCGACGGCCAAUCAUAGUCGUCGCUCGCGCGCCGGCCCGCCCAUCGAUCCACAUCACCCGCCUCUGCCGCGUCUGCACGGUGGCCCGGCGGUCUACCUCGCCGGCCUUGUUCUCGGCUGCGUCGGGACGGCUACGUUAGGCUCGUCGGCUGCCUCAACUCGGGCGCCGCUGCUCCGAUGGUCGCUCGGGCCUCGCGGCCCGGGCGUUGGUGCUGCUUUGGCAGCCCGGGUGCUGGUGCUGACAAGCUUGUCCGUGCGACGUCCCACGCCGUUCGUCGUCGCCGGCCUCAUCGCGGACUCCGCCGCCACCCCGCCUCCACCGAGCGGCGUCCUCGACCUCGCGCGCGCUCGGCUUGAUCACCCGCUCGCCGUCGUGAUCCGCCUCAUCUACGCCGCGCGACCGACCUGGCCUGUCGGUUACGCGCGCCUCCGCAGGUCCCGUGAAGAUCGUCCCAAGUAUCGCACGCCUCUUCGCCGAUCGAGCAUCGGGCUGCUGCUGCGUCGCCCCGUCGGGCCGCAGCGCCGCCGCCCCAUGGUUCUCUUCGCGGCUGCAUCUGGAUUAUUGACUCUAGUAAACCCUUUGGGCGUUAAUCACAUAGCGAUGUGAACUAGAUUAUUGACUCUAGUAAACCCUUUGGGUGUUGGUCACAUGACGAUGUGAACUAUGGGUGUUAAUCACAUGGUGAUGUGAACUAUUGAUGUUAAAUCACAUGGCGAUGUGAUCUAGAUUAUUGACUCUAGUGCAAGUGGGAGACUGAAGGAAAUAUGCCCUAGAGGCAAUAAUAAAGUUAUUAUUUAUUUCCUUAUUUCAUGAUAAAUAUUUAUUAUUCAUGCUAGAAUUGUAUUAACCGGAAACAUAAUACUUGUGUGAAUACAUAGACAAACAGAGUGUCACUAGUAUGCCUCUACUUGACUAGCUCGUCGAUCAAAGAUGGUUAUGUUUCCUAACCAUAGACAUGAGUUGUCAUUUGAUUAACGGGAUCACAUCAUUAGGAGAAUGAUGUGAUUGACUUGACCCAUUCCGUUAGCUUAGCACUCGAUCGUUGAGUAUUCUGCUAUUGCUUUCUUCAUGACUUAUACAUGUUCCUAUGACUAUGAGAUUAUGCAACUCCCGUUUACCGGAGGAACACUUUGUGUGCUACCAAACGUCACAACGUAACUGGGUGAUUAUAAAGGUGCUCCACAGGUGUCUCCGAAGGUACUUGUUGGGUUGGCGUAUUUCGAGAUUAGGAUUUGUCACUCCGAUUGCCGGAGAGGUAUCUCUGGGCCCACUCAGUAAUGCACAUCACUAUAAGCCUUGCAAGCAUUAUAACUAAUGAGUUAGUUGCGGGAUGAUGUAUUACGGAACAAGUAAAGAGACUUGCCAGUAACGAGAUUGAACUAGGUAUUGAGAUACCGACGAUCGAAUCUCGGGCAAGUAACAUACCGAUGACAAAGGGAACAACGUAUGUUGUUAUGCGGUUUGACCGAUAAAGAUCUUCGUAGAAUAUGUGGGAGCCAAUAUGAGCAUCCAGGUUCCACUAUUGGUUAUUGAUCGGAGACGUGUCUCGGUCAUGUCUACAUUGUUCUCGAACCCGUAGGGUCCGCACGCUUAAAGUUCGAUGACGGUUAUAUUAUGAGUUUAUGUGUUUUGAUGUACCGAAGGUAGUUCGGAGUCCCGGAUGAGAUCGGGGACAUGACGAGGAGUCUCGAAAUGGUCGAGACGUAAAGAUCGAUAUAUUGGACGACUAUAUUCGGACAUCGGAAAGGUUCCGACUGAUUCGGGUAUUUUUCGGAGUACCGGAGAGUUACAGGAAUUCGCCAUGGAGUAUAUGGGCCUUAUUGGGCUUUAGGGGAAAGAGAGAGGAGAGGCUGCACGCCCCCAAGGCCUAGUCCGAAUUGGACUAGGGGGAGGGGCUGCACCCCCUCCUUCAUUCUCUUCUCUCUCCCCUUUCCUUGACUCCUACUCCUACUACUUGGAAGGAGGGAAUCCUACUCCCGGUGGGAGUAGGACUCCUCCUGGCGCGCCUCCUCCUGGCCGGUCGCCUCUCCCUCCCAUGUUACUUUAUAUACGGGGGCGAGGGGCACCCCAUAGACACAACAAUUGAUCCCUUGGAUCUCUUAGCCGUGUGCGGUGCCCCCCCUCCACCAUAAUCCACCUCGGUCAUAUCGUAGCGGUGCUUAGGCGAAGCCCUGCGUCGGUAGAACAUCAUCGUCACCACGCCAUCGUGCUGACGGAACUCUCCUUCAAAGCUCGGCUGGAUCGGAGUUCGAGUGACGUCAUCGAGUUGAACGUGUGCUGAACUCGGAGGUGCCGUGCGUUCGGUACUUGAUCGGUCGGAUCAUGAAGACGUACGACUACAUCAACCGCGUUGUACUAACGAUUCCGCUUUCGGUCUACGAGGGUACGUGGACACACUCUCCCCUCUCGUUGCUAUGCAUCACCAUGAUCUUGCGUGUGCAUAGCAAUUUUUUGAAAUUACUACGUUCCCCAACAGUGGUAUCAGAGCCAGGUUUUAUGCGUUGAUGUUAUAUGCACGAGUAGAACACAAGUGAGUUGUGGGCGAUAUAAGCCAUACUGCUUAUCAGCAUGUCAUACUUUGGUUCGGCGGUAUUGUUGGAUGAAGCGGCCCGGACCGACAUUACGCGUACGCUUACGCGAGACUGGUUCUACCGACGUGCUUUGCACACAGGUGGCUGGCGGGUGUCAGUUUCUCCAACUUUACUUAAACCGAGUGUGGCUACGCCCGGUACUUGCGAAGGUUAAAACAGCACCAACUUGACAAACUAUCGUUGUGGUUUUGAUGCGUAGGUAAGAACGGUUCUUGCCGUAGCAGCCACGUAAAAUUUGCAACAACAAAGUAGAGGACGUCUAACUUGUUUUUGUAGGGCAUGUUGUGAUGUGAUAUGGUCAAGACAUGAUGCUAAAUUUUAUUGUAUGAGAUGAUCAUGUUUUGUAACCGAGUUAUCGGCAACUGGCAGGAGCCAUAUGGUUGUCGCUUUAUUGUAUGCAAUGCAAUCGCCCUGUAAUGCUUUACUUCAUCACUAAGCGGUAGCGAUAGUCGUAGAAGCAUAAGAUUGGCGAGACGACAACGAUGCUACGAUGAAGAUCAAGGUAUCGCGCCGGUGACGAUGGUGAUCAUGACAGUGCUUCGGAGAUGGAGAUCGCAAGCACAAGAUGAUGAUGGCCAUAUCAUAUCACUUAUAUUGAUUGCAUGUGAUGUUUAUCUUUUAUGCAUCUUAUCUUGCUUUGAUUGACGGUAGCAUUAUAAGAUGAUCCCUCACUAAAUUAUCAAAGUACAAGUGUUCUCCCUGAGUAUGCACCGUUGCAAAAGUUCUUCGUGCUGAGACACCACGUGAUGAUCGGGUGUGAUAGGCUCUACGUUCAAAUACAACGGGUGCAAAAUAGUUGCACACGCGAAAUACUCAGGUUAAACUUGACGAGCCUAGCAUAUAACAGAUAUGGCCUCGGAACACUGAGACCGAAAGGUCGUGCGUGAAUCAUAUAGUAGAUAUGAUCAACAUUCUGAGGUUCACCAUUGAAACUACUCCAUCUCACGUGAUGAUCGGACAUGGUUUAGUUGAUUUGGAUCACGUGAUCACUUAGAGGAUUAGAGGGAUGUCUAUCUAAGUGGGAGUUCUUAAGUAAUAUGAUUAGUUGAACUUUAAUUUAUCAUGAACUUAGUCCUGGUAGUAUUAGCAUAUCUAUGUUGUAGAUCAAUAGCUCGCGUUGUUGCUUCCCUAUGUUUUAUGUAUGUUCCUAGAGAAAACUAAGUUGAAAGAUGAUAGUAGCAAUGAUGCGGACUGGGUCCGUGAUCUGAGGUUUAUCCUCAUUGCUGCACAGAAGAAUUAUGUCCUUGAUGCACCGCUAGGUGACAGACCUAUUACAGGAGCAAAUGCAGACGUUAUGAACGUUUGGCUAGCUCAAUAUGAUGACUACUUGGUAGUUUAGUGCACCAUGCUUAACGGCUUAGAAUCGGGACUUCAAAGACGUUUUGAACGUCAUGGACCAUAUGAGAUGUUCCAGGAGUUGAAGUUAAUAUUUCAAGCAAAUACCCGAGUUGAGAGAUAUGAAGUCUCCAACAAGUUCUAUAGCUAAAAGAUGGAGGAGAAUAGCUCAAGCAGUAAGCAUCUGCUCAGAUUGUCUAGGUACUACAAUCGCUUGAAUCAAGUGGGAGUUAAUCUUCCAGAUAAGAUAGUGAUUGGCAGAAUUCUCUAGUCACCAUCACCAAGUUAGUAGAACUUCGUGAUGAACUAUAAUAUGCAAGGGAUAACGGAAACAAUUCCCAAGCUUUUCGUGAUGCUGAAAUCGAUGAAGGUAGAAAUCAAGAAAAACAUCAAGUGUUGAUGGUUGACGAGACCACUAGUUUCAAGAAAACGGCAAAGGGAAGAAGGGGAACUUCAAGAAGAACGGCAAGCAAGUUGCUGCUCAAGUGAAGAAGCCCAAGUCUGGUCCUAAGCCUGAGACUAAGUGCUUCUACUGCAAAGGGACUGGUCACUGGAAGCGGAACUGCCCCAAGUAUUUGGCGGAUAAGAAGGAUGGCAAAGUGAACAAAGGUAUAUUUGAUAUACAGAUUAUUGAUGUGUAUUUUACUAGUGUUCGUAGCAACCCCUCGGUAUUUGAUACUGGUUCAGUUACUAAGAGUAGUAACUCGAAACAGGAGUUGCAAAAUGAACAGAGACUAGUUAAGGGUGAAGUGACGAUGUGUGUUGGAAGUGGUUCCAAGAUUGAUAUGAUCAUCAUCGCACGCUCCCUACACUUUCGGGAUUAAUGUUGAACCUAAAUAAGUGUUAUUUGGUGUUUGCGUUGAGCAUGAAUAUGAUUUGAUCAUGUUUAUUGCAAUACGGUUAUUCAUUGAAGUUAGAGAAUAAUUGUUGUUCUAUUUACAUGAAUAAAACCUUCUAUGGUCAUACACCCAAUGAAAAUGGUUUGUUGGAUCUCGAUCGUAGUGAUACACAUAUUCAUAAUAUUGAAGCCAAAAUAUGCAAAGUUAAUAAUGAUAGUGCAACUUAUUUGUGGCACUGCCGUUUAGGUCAUAUUGGUGUAAAGCGCAUGAAGAAACUCCAUGCUGAUGGGAUUUUGGAAUCACUUGAUGCUUGCGAACCAUGCCUCUCGGGCAAGAUGAUUAAAACGCCGUUCUCCGGAACAAUGGAGCAAGCAAUAGAUUUGUUGGAAAUCAUACAUACUGAUGUAUGUGGUCCGAUGAAUAUUGAGGCUCGUAGCGGGUAUCAUUAUUUUCUGACCUUCACAGAUGAUUUGAGCAGAUAUGGGUAUAUCUACUUAAUGAAACAGAAGUCUGAAACAUUUGAAAAGUUCAUAUAAUUUCAGAGUGAAGUGGAAAAUCAUCGUAACAAGAAAAUAAAAUUUCUACGAUCUGAUCAUGGAGAAGAGUAUUUGAGUUACGAGUUUGGUCUUCAGUUAAAACAAUGUGAAAUAGUUUCACUGCUCACGCCACCUGGAACACCACAGUGUAAUGGUGUGUCCGAACAUCGUAACCAUACUUUAUUAGAUAUGGUGCAAUCUAUGAUGUCUCUUACCGAUUUACCACUAUCGUUUUGGGGUUAUGCAUUAAAGACAGCUGCAUCCACGUUAAAAAGGGCACCGUCUAAGUCCGUUGAGACGACACAAUAUGAACUGUGGUUUGGCAAGAAACCAAAGUUGUCGUUUCUUAAAGUUUGGGGUUGUGAUGCUUAUAUGAAAAAGUUUCAUCCUGGUAAGCUCAAACCCAAAUCGGAGAAAUAUGUCUUCAUAGGAUACCCAAAGGAGACUGUUGGGUACACCUUCUAUCACAGAUCCGAAGGCAAGACAUUCGUUGCUAAGAAUGGAUCCUUUCUAGAGAAGGAGUUUCUCUCGAAAGAAGUGAGUGGGAGGAAAGUAGAACUUGAUAAGGUAACUGUACCUGCUCCUUAUUGGAAAGUAGUUCAUCACAGAAAUCUGUUCCUGUGACUCCUACACCAAUUAGUGAGGAAGCUAAUGAUGAUGAUCAUGUAACUUUAGAUCAAGUUACUACCGAACCUCGUAGGUCAACCAGAAUGAAAUCUGCACCAGAGUGGUACGGUAAUCCAGUUCUGGAGGUCACGUUACUUGACCAUGACGAACCUACGAACUAUGAGGAAGCGAUGAUGAGCCCAGAUUCCGCAAAAUGGCUUGAGGCCAUGAAAUCUUAGAUGGGAUCCAUGUAUGAGAACAAAGUGUGGAGUUUGGUUGACUUGCCCGGUGAUCGGCAAGACAGAGAAAAUAAAUGGAUCUUCAAGAGAAAGACGGACGCUUGUAGUAGUGUUACUAUCUACAAAGCUAGACUUGUCGGAAAAAGGUUUUUGACAAAGUUCAAGGUGUUGACUACGAUGAGAUUUUCUCACUCGUAGCGAUGCUUAAGUCUGUCCGAAUCAUGUUAGAAAAUUGCCACAUUUCAUGAAAUCUGGCAAAUGGAUAUCGAAACUACAUUCCUUAAUGGAUUUCUUAAAGAAGAGUUGUAUAUGAUGCAACCAAAAGGUUUUGUCAAUCCUAAAGGUGCUAACAAAAUAUGCAAGCUCCAGCGAUCCAUCUAUGGACUGGUGCAAGCAUCUCGGAGUUGGAAUAUACGCUUUGAUAAGUUGAUCAAAGCAUAUAGUUUUAUACAGACUUGCGGUGAAGCCUGUAUUUACAAGAAAGUGAGUGGGAGCACUACAUCAUUUCUGAUAAGUAUAUGUGAAUGGCAUAUUGUUGAUCAGAAAUAAUGUAGAAUUAUUCUGCAAAGCAUAAAGGAGUAUUUGAAAGGAGUUUUUCAAAGAAGGACCUCGGUGAAGCUGCUUACAUAUUGAGCAUCAAGAUCUAUAGAGAUAGAUCAAGACGCUUGAUAAGUUUUUUCAAUGAGUACAUACCUUGACAAGAUUUUGAAGUAGUUCAAAAUGGAACAGUCAAAGAAAGAGUUUCUUGCCUGUGUUACAAGGUGUGAAAUUGAGUAAGACUCAAAGCCCGACCACGGCAGAAGAUAGAAAGAGAAUGAAAGUCAUUCCCUAUGCCUCGGCCAUAGGUUCUAUAAAGUAUGCCAUGCUGUGUACCAGAUCUAUUGUAUACCCUACACUGAUUUUGGCAAGGGAGUACAAUAGUGAUCUAGGAGUAGAUCACUGGACAGCGGUCAAAAUUAUCCUUAGUGGAAUAAGGAUAUGUUUCUCGAUUAUGGAAGUGACAAAAGGUUCAUCGUAAAGGGUUACGUCGAUGCAAGUUUUGACACUAAUCUAUAUGACUCUAAGUCUCGGUCUAGAUACAUAUUGAAAGUGGGAGCAAUUAGCUAAAGUAGCUCCGUGCAGAACAUUGUAGACAUAGAAAUUUGCAAAAUACAUACGGAUCUGAAUAUGGCAGACCCGUUGACUAAACUUCUCUCAUAAGCAAAACAUGAUCACACCUUAGUACUCUUUGGGUGUUAAUCACAUAGCGAUGUGAACUAGAUUAUUGACUCUAGUAAACCCUUUGGGUGUUGGUCACAUGACGAUGUGAACUAUGGGUGUUAAUCACAUGGUGAUGUGAACUAUUGAUGUUAAAUCACAUGGCGAUGUGAUCUAGAUUAUUGACUCUAGUGCAAGUGGGAGACUGAAGGAAAUAUGCCCUAGAGGCAAUAAUAAAGUUAUUAUUUAUUUCCUUAUUUCAUGAUAAAUGUUUAUUAUUCAUGCUAGAAUUGUAUUAACCGGAAACAUAAUACUUGUGUGAAUACAUAGACAAACAGAGUGUCACUAGUAUGCCUCUACUUGACUAGCUCGUUGAUCAAAGAUGGUUAUGUUUCCUAACCAUAGACAUGAGUUGUCAUUUGAUUAACGGGAUCACAUCAUUAGGAGAAUGAUGUGAUUGACUUGACCCAUUCCGUUAGCUUAGCACUCGAUCGUUUAGUAUUCUGUUAUUGCUUUCUUCAUGACUUAUACAUGUUCCUAUGACUAUGAGAUUAUGCAACUCCCGUUUACCGGAGGAACACUUUGUGUGCUACCAAACGUCACAACGUAACUGGGUGAUUAUAAAGGUGCUCCACAGGUGUCUCCGAAGGUACUUGUUGGGUUGGCGUAUUUCGAGAUUAGGAUUUGUCACUCCGAUUGUCGGAGAGGUAUCUCUGGGCCCACUCAGUAAUGCACAUCACUAUAAGCCUUGCAAGCAUUGUAACUAAUGAGUUAGUUGUGGGAUGAUGUAUUACGGAACAAGUAAAGAGACUUGCCGGUAACGAGAUUGAACUAGGUAUUGAGAUACCGACGAUCAAAUCUCGGGCAAGUAACAUACCGAUGACAAAGGGAACAACGUAUGUUGUUAUGCGGUUUGACCGAUAAAGAUCUUCGUAGAAUAUGUGGGAGACAAUAUGAGCAUCCAGGUUCCGCUAUUGGUUAUUGACCGGAGACGUGUCUCGGUCAUGUCUACAUUGUUCUCGAACCCGUAGGGUCCGCACGCUUAAAGUUCGAUGACGGUUAUAUUAUGAGUUUAUGUGUUUUGAUGUACCGAAGGUAGUUCGGAGUCCCGGAUGAGAUCGGGGACAUGACGAGGAGUCUCGAAAUGGUCGAGACGUAAAGAUCGAUAUAUUGGACGACUAUAUUCGGACAUCGGAAAGGUUCCGAGUGAUGCUGGUAUUUUUCGGAGUACCGGAGAGUUACGGGAAUUCGCCGGGAGUAUAUGGGCCUUAUUGGGCUUUAGGGGAAAGAGAGAGGAGAGGCUGCGCGCCCCCCAAGGCCUAGUCCGAAUUGGACUAGGGGGAGGGGCUGCGCCCCCUCUUUCCUUCUCUUCUCUCUCCCCUUUCCUUGGCUCAUACUCCUACUACUUUGAAGGGGGGAAUCCUACUCCCGGUGGGAGUAGGACUCCUCCUGGCGCGCCUCCUCCUGGCCGGUCGCCUCUCCCUCCCUUGCUCCUUUAUAUAGGGGGCAGGGGGCACCCCAUAGACACAACAAUUGAUCCCUUGGAUCUCUUAGCCGUGUGCGGUGCCCCCCUCCACCAUAAUCCACCUCGGUCAUAUCGUAGCGGUGCUUAGGCGAAGCCCUGCGUCGGUAGAACAUCAUCAUCGUCACCACGCCAUCGUGCUGAUGGAACUCUCCCUCAAAGCUCGGCUGGAUCGGAGUUCGAGGGUCGUCAUCGAGUUGAACAUGUGCUGAACUCGGAGGUGCCGUGCGUUCGGUACUUGAUCGGUCGGAUCGUGAAGACGUACGACUACAUCAACCGCGUUGUGCUAACGCUUCCGCUUUCGGUCUACGAGGGUACGUGGACACACUCUCCCCUCUCGUUGUUAUGCAACACCAUGAUCUUGCGUGUGCGUAGCAAAUUUUUUGAAAUUACUACGUUCCCCAACAUAUAAAGCACCGGGAAGGUAGCUUUUGUAUCACAACGAAAAAGUUCAAAGCAAUAAAGAAAAGCAAGGCUCGAUACGAGCCUUUGUCUAUCCAUCGAUUCAUUCGUGUUCGUGAGUUCCGCUGAGAGAGUUGAUCAAUCUAAGUCGCCGGUCGCCAAGUUGAAGCUAGCCCAGGUCGUGCGUGUACUGUGGAUCAAUGAAGCGCCAGCCUACUUGCUUGCUAGUUUACACGUACGUGUGCUGCUACUCGGGUGAUUUGAUCUACAAGAUCAGAAGCCAACAAUUGGUAUCUAGAGCCUCGACGAUCUACAAUGACGGACAACGAUGCUAAGUCAGUCAAGUUCGGCAACGGCGGUUCCAAGGGGAACAAGUCCGGCAAUGGCGGUUCCAAGGCGAACAAGAACGGCGACAAGGUGAAGAAGGGCGGCAAGUCAGCGACUAGUGGUGGAGGAACGAGCGGCGUCAACGUACUGGCGCAUCGCAACAUCCAUAUCUAGUACCCGAUGCUCACCGACGCCAACUAUGGCAUGUGGGCAGUGAAGAUGAAGAUCAUUCUCCGAACCCUACAAGUGUGGCAGGCCAUCACGGACGACGACGUCGACGAGGAGUGCGACGAAGGUGCCAUGGCCGCCAUAGCCCAGUCUGUGCCAGAUUCCAUGCUGAUGACAUAGGCGGAGGUCGAGACAGCAAGAGAGGUGUGGAACGCACUCAAAGAGAUGAGGAUUGGAGAAGAUCGCGUCACGAAGGCUCGGGCACAAGUGCUGAAGCGCCAAUUUCACAAGUUGCACAUGGAGGAAACUGAAUCGGUGAACGACUAUGCCAUGCGUCUGACUACUUUGGUGGGAGAGAUCCGCGCGCUUGGUGCAAAGCUCGAGGAAGCCGAGAUUGUGGAGAAAUUUUUCAGUUCGGUGACUGAUAAAUUCACGUACAUCAUCGGCACGCUCGAGCAGCUUUACGACAUCGACGACAUGACCAUAACGGAGGCGAUCGGACGCUUACGGACAUGGGAAGAGAAUGCUCGUGGCUGUCGGAAAGGCAAAGGAGGAGGUAGCGACCAACUCAUGUACUCGCGUGCAGAUUGGGAGGCCCCAAGUAGCAAAGGAAGGCGUGACGGUGGUGAAGGCCCAAGCAACGCGAAGCGCGGUGGACAACCCGAAGAAGGCAAAGGAAAAGGCAAGCCACAAGGUCGUGGUAAGGCGGACCAAUCUAAAGAGCGGAAGCCACGGAACUUGGAUAUGUCCGAGGUCAAGUGCUAUAACUGCAACGAUAUGGGUCACUUUGCGAAGGAUUGUCCGGAGCCUAACAAGUGGGAGAUCAAGGCAAAUUUGGCGAAGCAGGAAGACGAACGUCCAGGUCUUCUGAUGGCCAAAGUUUGUGAUCUCGUCCAAACAGCGGUUGUGAAACCAAACCGGAAGGUGCUACUUCAUGAGAAAAAGGUAACACCAAAGUUAUCCGGGAGCCAGAACGUGUUGUGGUAUGUAGACACAGGUGCCAGUAACCACAUGACGGGGUGCAAGGAGAAGUUCCUUGAGCUGGAAUAUGAUGUUCAAGGCUCGGUCAAGUUCGGCGAUGGUUCAAAUGUGGAGAUUUGCGAGCAAGGUUCUGUCCUCUUCGAAGGUCUCACAGGAGAACAUCACAUACUCACUGGAGUAUACUACAUCCCAAGGCUUCACAACAACAUCAUCUCUCUCGGGAAACUUGAUGAGAAUGGAUGCAAGGUGGAUAUCGAGAACGGAGUGAUGACGAUCUUCGACAACCUCCGAAACGUCCUAGCCCGUGUGAAUCGCACGCGGAACAGGCUCUAUAUCCUAAACCUUGAUCAAUCUCAACCGGAGUGUUGGCUCGCCAAGAGUGAUGAUGAUUCGUGGUUAUGGCAUGCUAGAUUUGGACACGUUAACUUCUACACCUUGAAGAAGAUGUCGAAGAUGGAGAUGGUAUCUGGGAUGCCAUUUGUCGACCAUGUUGAUCGAGUAUGUGAUGGGUGCUUGGUUGGAAAAUAGCACCGCAUGCCAUUCCCUGCUCAGUCUACCUAUCGUGCAAGUGAUGCACUCGAGCUGCUCCAUGGUGAUCUAUGUGGCCCUAUCACCCCAGCAACUCACGGAGGAAAGAAGUACUUCUUCCUUGUGGUAGAUGACUACUCGAGAUACAUGUGGGUCGUUCUCCUACGAUCUAAAGAUGAGGCGUUUGAAGCGUUCAAGAAGCUGAAGGCUGCAACGGAGAUGGAACACAAGCUAAAGGUUCGCGCUCUUCGGACAGAUCGCGGCGGAGAGUUUACGUCGAACGAGUUCAACAACUACUGCGAGAAUAUUGGCAUAAAGAGGUUCCUCACAGCACCUUAUACGCCACAGCAGAACGGGGUUGUUGAAAGGCGCAAUCGAACUGUUGUUGACAUGGCGAGAAGUUUACUCAAGAGCAAGAACUUGCCAGGGACUUUUUAGGGAGAAGCUGUCUCGACAGCGGUCUAUCUUCUCAACCGGGCUCCAAUGAAGGCAGUGGUCGGCAAGACUCCGUAUGAAGCAAUUUACGGACGGAAGCCGAAUGUGUCUCAUCUACGGACGUUUUGGUGUGUGGCACAUGUGAAGAAGGCGGAGCCGCAUCUCUCAAAGCUUGCCGAUCGCAGCACCAAGAUGGUGUUCAUCGGAUACGAGAGGAUUUCCGGCACCAAGGCAUACCACUUCUACGAUCCAUGAACCAAGCGUCUACGGAUUUCACGCGACGUCGUGUUUGAAGAAAACUAAGCGUGGAAUUGGAGCGCAGCAGCCGACGAUGCUCCAAAUGGUAACAUAUUCACAGUUGAAUUUCCAACUGAUGAUGAUGCAGGGGAGGACGUCCAGGUGGUUGGCAAGACGCCCAACCAAGGUGACCACAAUGGUAGUGAUCAUCAUGGUGCCAACACCAACGACGACGCGCAUGGGUCGCAAGGUGAUAGCGACAACGACGCGCAAGACACGGGUAGAGAUCUCGGCAACGAAAUCGACAACGAGGCGCAUAGUGAUGAUGACAAUCAAGAUGAUGGUCACGAUCACGACGACUACGCCGACGACGCGGAUGCCAAUGACCCGACAUCUACCACGCCUGAGACUCAACCGUCUCCCUCAAGUGCAUCGACGCCGACACAAUUUGUGUCGCCUCCUUCGCAAGUUACAACGGAUUCUUCCGGGCCUCGUCGCUACAAGAACCUCAAGAAAGUCUACAAGUACGCAAAGCCAGUUACGCUCGAGUACUCCGAUUUGUGUUUACUCGAAGUUGAGGAGCCGGCGAACUUCGUAGAGGCGAGCAAAAGUUCAAGUUGGAUGCAUGCCAUGGAUGAGGAGAUGAAGGCGAUCGAGAGCAAUGGCACGUGGACUUUGGUAACCCGACCUCCGAACCAAAAGGCCAUAGGUUUGAAGUGGGUUUACAAGUUGAAGAAGGACACGAAGGGUGCCAUUGUGAAGUACAAGGCAAGACCCGUUGCAAAGGGCUACGUACAACGUCAAGGAGUUGACUAUGAGGAGGUGUUUGCACCGGCUGCUCGAAUUGAGACGGUGAGAGUGCUCCUAGGUUUGGCAGCACAAGAGGACUGGAAGGUUCAUCAUAUGGAUGCUAAAUCCACUUUCCUCAACGGCGACCUCACAGAAGAAGUGUACGUGGGACAACCCCUCGGCUAUGAGAAGAAAGGAGAAGAAGGGAAAGUUUACAAGCUCAAGAAGGCAAUUUACGGGCUGAAGCAAGCGCCAAGAGCUUGGAACUCAAUGUUAGACCAAAGUUUGAUCUCGCUCGGGUUCAAGAGAUGUACCCUCGACGAUCCGAAAGAUAGUCUACCAAGCACCGAAGAACAUGUGAAGAUUGAAGACAUGACCAAGUAGGAGAGUCGUUGUCAAGCAUUUGACGAGCCAACGACAGCGAAGGCGGUCCCUGAAAUGCAACAAGGAACGGCGAAAGCAAUGCCAAAGAUAAAGCAUACGAGUAGGUCGUAAUCGAAGAUCAAUAAGGUUAAGGAGGUAAAUGUAGAGAUUAACCUUGUUGUGUCCGUGUAGGGGUAGAUUAGUGGAGUUCUAGUAGGAUUACUAGUCCUAGUCGGAUAUCUAGCCCCUGGACGUGUAUAUAAAGCACCGGGAGGGUAGCUUUUGUAUCACAACGAAAAAGUUCAAACCAAUAAAGAAAAGCAAGGCUCGAUACGAGCCUUUGGCUAUCCAUCGAUUCAUUCGUGUUCGUGAGUUCCGCUGAGAGAGUUGAUCAAUCUAAGUUGCCGGUCGCCAAGUUGAAGCUACAGGGCCGGCUCUAUGAUUUCGAAGGCCCCGGUGCGAACCCGACCAGUGGGCCCAAUAGAGAGAAAAAUCCAAUUUGAUACAUGAAAAUAUAAAAUUGCUAUAAAAUCAUAAAACUAAUAUAUUUUUACUAGAAUCAAGCAUAUGUUAUUUUCCCUGUCUUUGUUCCAAACCAAGUAUCAUGGAAGUUACAACGCAGAAAAAACAUAUUGAAGUAGCAUGCUAACCUCCAGUGAUCAUGUGAAACGAGACUUUCGUGCAUUUUUUGACGCAAAAUCAUCAAUGAGAGUGUCAAGAUCAAUACUAUCCAGCAUAUUCUUCUCAAUGCAGCACAUGGCCAAUCCAUUCAAUCUUUCUUGAGACAUCGUUGACCUCAAAUAAUUUUUCAAUAGUUUCAAUUUUGAGAAACUCCUUUCAGCUGAUGCAACACUCACAGGUAUGGUCAAAAGGAUACGAUAAGCAAUUGAGACAUUUAGAUAACAAUCCGCAUCUCUAACAAACUCAAAUAUCUGAUCCGCUGACAUGAAUGUGUUUGGCAAUGUCAUCUGCAGUACUUUUAGUUCAGAAACGAAAUCAUCUAGAUCGACAUCUGCUGACUUACCAUGAGUGAAUUUGUUGACAAAAUUAGUGCAACAUCUUCUUAGAUCAUUAUCACCCAAGGACUUCAACUCUUUCGAGUUGAACAAGAAACCAAAUAUGCUCCCAAAUGUCUUGAGUUCCUCAAAUCUAGUAGUUAGGGAAGUAAUUGCAACAUCAAUCAUCACCAAAAAGUAUUUAACUCUAAAUGAUUCCACCUCACUUGCUUGCGUUUCUUCAUUCUGGUUAUUUUCGUCAUUGCCACUAAUUUCAUCAAACUGUCUUUUUCUAGUAAUACGUCUCUUGACAGGAAACAAAGGUUGUACACCCAUGUCAAUUCCAAUAGAUCUCGCAAUAUCCAGACUAGUUGCAAAGCCGUCAUUUCUGUACUUCUUAAAAUAUGAGAUGGCACCUUCAAUCUGUUUAAGAGUAACAUCAAUGCACACAAACUUAGACUGCAACUUCUUACUCACCAUGUUUACAGUGAACAAAAUGUCAUGCCAAAUGACCAUGCCAAGUAAAAAUUCAAAUUUCUCAAGUGCGCUAGCCAAAGAUUUUGCGUCUCUCUUAGUCUUGGCGUCAUCGGUAGAAGUUCUCUUCAAUUCCAGUAAUGCUUUUCUUAACUCGGGUGCUUGAUAUCUGAUAGCCUGAACACUCUUUAUUCGACUCUCCCAUCGAGUGUUACACAAAGACUUAACUGUCAUUUUUGGAACAUGAUCAAGCAAUAGCUGCCAUAUUUUAGUAGAGCUUGAAAACAAUAUAUAAAUUCUUUGCACAACACCAAAGAAGGUAACAGCUUUACCGCAAGAUUUUGCCAUAUCACUAAGAGUAAGGUUCAGGCUAUGACAAGCGCAUGGCAUGAAUAAUGCUCUUGGAUUAGUUUCAAGUAGUCUGCUCUGUACCCCUUGGUGUUUUCCCUUCAUGUUCGAACCAUUGUCAUACCCUUGUCCACGAACAUCUUUAACAUCCAAACCAACAGAUUUAAGUGAAUCUAUUAACACAUUAUAAAGUCCAAGUCCGGAUGUAUCAUCCACCUUCAAGAACUCCAGAAAAAACUCCUCUAUUUUUGUAGUAGUACUUGACAUGUUUACGCACCUCACAAUUAGUCAUUUGUUCUUGAUGGCUCACCUCAGGUGUACAGUCCAAGAUGACAGAGAAAUACCUUGCAUCCUUAAUUAUCCUCAACAGAGAAUAUUUAACAGUGCGACCAAGAAGGGAAAUUAACUCAUUCUGAAUAUUAUGGCCAAGAUAAUGAUGAUGGAUUUCACUAUUCUUAAUGCGCCGAAGAUGCUCUUGCAUUACAGGAUCAAAUUCUGCCAUCAUUUCAAUUACUCCCAAAAAAUUUCCGUUGUUAUCUUGAUAUAAUUUCUCAUUCGAUCCUCGAAAAGCCAGACUAUGUUUAGCAAGAAAUUUCACAGCAGCAACAAUUCUAAUUAAAACAAGUCUCCAUCGCUCCUUCUCCCUUGCAAUCUCUUGUUGCAUGUCUUUAUCAAUUGUUUCCUUCUUACUUAGCCUCAGCCUUACCUCAUUCCAAGUAUUCAUGUUAGUGAUAUGCUCAACACUAUUCUCAUGCAAUUUGAGCUUCUCACUAAGAUGUCUCCAAUCCUUCAAUCCCUCGGAUGCUAGCAGACUUUUGCUUUUUCCAGAUUUAAACAAUUUGCAACAAAAGCAGUAGACUUUAUUCACGUGUUUAGAGUACACUAACCACCUCCGAACACUGAACUCGCCAUUCCUUAACUUUAUUGUGUAGUAAUCAUAUGAAAAAUGCCUGCCACUAAUUUCAUCUUCGGGAAACACAAGAUUGUAUUCCCUUAUAGGUCCUUUUUCAAUGCGAAUAUCUCUUGAUUUAUUGUCAAGAAUAUUCCAAGUUCUAGGAUCAUAUAUAUCAAAAGAAGAACCCUGCUCAUCUGCAUUUCCAAGAUUCUCAUGGUCACUAAAAUUUUCCGUGUGCUGAUCGGCAUCAUUUUCCGCAGCAUUAUUUUUCUCGACAUGAUUUUCCUCAACGGCAUUCUUAGUAUCAUCAGGUUUUUCUUCACCAUUUGUGAUAUAUAAUUGCUCUGAAUUUGUAGCAGCACCAGUCCUCAAGACAAACAUAUCCAUAGCGCCUUCCUGAGAUUUAAUCAACUUGUCUACUCUUUUCUUGUUGUUUCUUUUCUCACAGCCAGAUAGAUGUUUUUUAGGUAACAUGAUUAUGCUGCAAGUGAGAAACACGAAUACAGUAUCAGAGAUUGAAGAUGUUAUGUUUUUAGAUGAGAAGUUUCAGAAUUGAGACCACCGGAAAAUAUUCGCCUAUAGAUUAGGAUUUAUGAAUAGAUUGAUCUAAGAAUUAUUACCUUCUGAAUGAUGAUCUUGAUCAGUUGAUCUCUUCCCCGAAUUCUUGCCGAUUUGAUCCCAAACUCAGCUCCAGGUUCGGUGCGGUGCGCUGGUGUCGGCGUCAGGCGGCGUGCUGCUGUGUCGAUGCGUCUCCGUGCUCCUGUGUCGGUGCGUCUCCCUGGAUUUCAGGCGAACGACAGGGCAACGUGCGUUGCCUGGGCUUGGUUGGGCAGGCCCUAGUGGUGGUUGUGUGCUGCUUGCUGGGUGGGCUCGGAGCUACCUGGGCUGGACGUUAGUCAUUCUUUUUUUCCACUAAUCCGUAAUAUAUAAUAUAUAUACUGCAUAUAUACUAUGGGCCCCCUUUUAGUAUGGGCCCCGGGCCGUCGCACCUCUCGCACUGGUCCAAAGCCGGCCCGUGUACUGUGGAUCAAUCAAGCGCCAGACUGCUUGCUUGCUAGUUUACACGUACGUGUGCCGCUGCUCGGGUGAUUUGAUCUACAAGAUCAAAAGCCAACAACCAGCACCAGCUCGUCUCCAGCGUCGCCGUCAUCUACCCCGACCGUUUCAUCUACUUCGACAACCGCAGGCAACAUUGGCCUUGCGGCGAUUGGCGCCGCAACCGUCGUCGAGUCCUUCUCUGCUGGCCUCUCCGACUUCUCCGACAUGGCGUACAGCUCAUGCAUGUCCCUCGUCUACGCAUGCCCGGUGCUGGCAACACCGAUGCGUUCUUUCAUCCACGACGUGUCCCCGGGCCUGGCAAGCCUGGUCGGCGCUUCGUCAACUUCGUCUUCGUCCGUCUACGCAUGCCCGGUGCUGGCAACACCGAUGCGUGCCUUCGUCCACGAUGUGUCCCCGGGCUUGGCAAACACGCCGCGACGCGUCGUCAACAACAUUUUCUUCCCGGCGUACCCCAACUUCGACACCACUGCGCCCAUGCUAACUCGGCGCCCCCUUGCGCCCGCGGCUCCACGGCGACUUCCUCGACAACGGCCACCCCGACUCGACGUCGACCACGGCAUUCUUCGCACGGCUACCUCGACCACGGCUCCACCACCCACGCUCUCUGCUACAUCGACAAACGGCACAAAGGGCUAUCGCCUGCUUGAGCAACCUCGUCGGUUUCCACUCCAGCCACGACUCCNNNNNNNNNNNNNNNNNNNNNNNNNNNNNNNNNNNNNNNNNNNNNNNNNNNNNNNNNNNNNNNNNNNNNNNNNNNNNNNNNNNNNNNNNNNNNNNNNNNNNNNNNNNNNNNNNNNNNNNNNNNNNNNNNNNNNNNNNNNNNNNNNNNNNNNNNNNNNNNNNNNNNNNNNNNNNNNNNNNNNNNNNNNNNNNNNNNNNNNNNNNNNNNNNNNNNNNNNNNNNNNNNNNNNNNNNNNNNNNNNNNNNNNNNNNNNNNNNNNNNNNNNNNNNNNNNNNNNNNNNNNNNNNNNNNNNNNNNNNNNNNNNNNNNNNNNNNNNNNNNNNNNNNNNNNNNNNNNNNNNNNNNNUGUCCGUCGGCUUGCCUUUGGAUUCUUCUCCAGUCUCACCGUCUGCGUCGCUACCGUUGUGACUGCGGGGGAUGUUGAGUAUAAUGUUUAUUAGGAAAGACGAGAUAGACUAGGAUUUGUUCUGGCUUGUCUUGUACUCCAAGUAGAUGAUUGUACUCCUAUAUAUAUGCCCACGAGGCUCAAGCUAUACAACGAACAAUUUCACCAAUCCUUUCUCUCCCUUCUAACAUGGUAUCUAUUGCAAGUCGAUCCUAAACCCUAGCCGCCGCCGCUUCCGGACCUGCGCGCCGCCCCGGGGCGGUCGGCCUCCAUGACCGCCGUCGGGGGCCGCGCCGCCCGUACCUAGGGUUCGUCCGCCGGCCGUGUUGGCCGGCUGCCCUAGAGAGUCUUUUUCCCGAGCCCUUGCUCCGGGUUUUUUCGCUCUCUCGCCAGUCGUUUUGAUCGGCGUUUUUCCUUUUUGUUUUUUGAUCUAUUCUUGAUCGGUUUGCGUCGCCCGCCGCCGCCGUCGACCCCCGUGCGCCUCUACUCCGACCCCGGCGCGACCAGCUGGCCUCUCCUCCGACCCGGCGGCCAUGCGUGCCGAGGCGGCCCGUCAGGGCCAGCCGCCGUCCGCUCAUCGCCCUGCGCCGGCCGUCAACGCCCUGCUCCGACCGGGACACCUGCAUCGCCCCGACCCGGCGGCCUCGCGCCAAGCGACGACCAAUCAUAGCCGUCGCUCGCGCGCCGGUCCGCCCAUCGAACCGGUCCCCGCCCAGCAAGUAAACUGUUUGAUCAUGUAAAUAAAUAACAUGACAGUAAGUGGACGCUCAUCUAGUACUUUAAGGUGGUGCUAUGCCACUAUAUUUUGGUAGGCGUGCCUUUGAGAACAGCUAAAUUCAUGUCAUCAGUUGUGUGUUUGUUAGCACAACCAAUUGAAUGGACAGGAAAGAUUCAUACUCAUAAAAGAACAAACAUAUGGAAAUGGUCUUUAGAUUAGAUUUACAGUACUUGCAACUAUCCUAUUGGAUGCUUAUUAACGUUGAUAUGAAAAUGUGGCAAUAUGAAUAUAUGAUCAAAUCUUACGUUGGGUAAUUUGCAGAUGAAGCUAAGAAGAGAAGCCACAGUUCCCAUUCCGCUGAUGGUUGUGACUUACGAGUGAUCCCAACAGAUGCAAGUUUUCAGAGGAAAAGGAAUCUUUGCAGACUUGCUCCUUUCUACUAUUAGUAGACCCUAAUUGUCAUUAGCCAUGAACACGUUUAUAGACUUGCUUAUUUCUGCUAUCACUAGAUCGUAAUCGUCUAUAGCCGUGAAGUUUGGUGGGUCAUUAUGGGUGUGGUGAUGAUGUUUUACUCCGGGCUACUUGCUUAGAAGUUUGCACCAGAGUAUUGGUGUGUAUAUGAUGGUAGAAUUCGUGCUCUCUGUUUGUAAUAGCCAUAUCGGAAGACAAUGAUUCCACGAGACAUUAAUCUGGUGAUGAAUUGGUAUGACUGCCGUCGGUUUGCACUAUUCUUAUGUUGAAUAGUACUACAAGGUAGUAACAAUUUGCAAUGAAGUGUUGAUACGAGAUAGAUGUGCUUUGGCCUGUAGACGCCGAGCGUAUUCAAAUUUUCCUUCUCCAAAAUCGAUGAAAGAGUUUCUUGUUCGGCACCACUCCAAGACUAGAGUGUUGACAGUAAAGUAAUACUCCCUCCGUUCCAAAAUUCUUGUCUUAGAUUUGUCUAGAUACGAAUGUAUCUAAUACUAAAAUGUGACUUGAUGCAUCCAUAUUUAGACAAAUCUAAGACAAGAAUUUUAAGACGGAGGGAGUAUUAUGUAGAGCGGAGCAUCAGUACGGACAUAAGUUUCGUAGAAUGGCCGACAUCGACUCGACCCAUACUAAUCAUGUGUUGUGCAAGUUAUGGAAGUUGCAUGCUAUAUCCAAGCGGUAGAAAUUCAUGUGGAAGGCUUUGCAUGCCUAGCGGAUCGACUUCUUAAGGUCAACGCUCAAUGGCCGAUAUGCGGGCAUGGAGUAGGGGAUUUGCGAUGUUCUAAACCUGUGAUCAAGCUACAUCUAUUUGGAAAGCCCUAGGACCCCAACCACUAAUUAAGGAAGUGUUGCAAGUUGAUACAGCAUGACAGGUGUUGCUGGAACAUUUAAUUUGUGAUGCAAUCCACAAAUCGCCGGUUCUUGACCAUGCACAACUCAAACUAUUGAUUGUAGUUUGUACAUGGAACGUUCGGUGGGAAAGAAGGAAACAUAUUAACGGAAAGCGAGUUCAGUCCCCUGAGUGAUCGACUGCGUCAAAUUACAGUGCUCACAGCUAAUUUUGAGUCGGCUCUAAAGAAGACUAUUGGGAUUAGAAGAACGGCCACUGAAGGACGUACAUGGUGAAGUUGAAUGUCAACACUUCCUUUGGUGAGGCUACCUUAAGUGGUCCCACAAGUGCCAUAGUGCUAGACCCUAAAGGCUUCUUCAUCGGAGCAUCAAACCAUCUAAUUGUGCAUGCGCAAGCGAUAAUUGAUGCUAUGAAUCGAGAACUUAUACUCUAGCCCAGUUGUGCUUGCAGAUUGCCUGCAAGUUCAUGAAGGUAACCUUCGUUCCCUACCCAAAAGAAGCUAACUACGCGGUAGACGAGUUAGAUAGGCAAGCCAAUAGAAACCCUAUUGAUUCGUGGUUGGAUGAACCUCCUAAUUUUCUUCUGCCCGUGCUUGUAAAAUGCUUGAUACUCGUUGAGCAAUAAGAGGUUACUUUCGCUGUAAAAAAGAGCAUCUCAUGCAAAAGCUCUAUCCCACAAGAGUUCUAUGCAGAUUAGUGACUACUCCCUCCAUUCCAAAUUACUUGUCGUUGUUUUGAACUAAAACCACGACAAGUAAUUUGGAACGGAGGAAGUACUUAUUAGGCAUUCGAUGUUGCUAAUAUUGCUGAGUAGUACUUCAGCUAGAAUGGCGAGUAGUACUCCCCUACUGAGUAGGGAAUGUCAGCAAGAGAACUUUGGAGGCAGUAUACUUUUUCCUCUCGGAUCAUCUGCUGCUCAUCAAAGCCUGGUCAGCUCCCCUCACGUAAUGGGCCAAUAGUGUUAGUGCCUUAUUCCUAAGGCCACGUGCCCACACCAUUUGUUCUAAGACCAUCUUGCAAGCCACAUUAUAUAUUUUACCUUCGUAUAGAGGUCCAUGAUGCACCAGCUUGAAUAACUCAUCUCUUGAGAAAACCUGAAAAGAUUGUAUACUUUGACCCAUGCAUUACUUGAAUAACAGGCUCCCUUCAAAAGCACACAGCGAAAGGCCAAUAAUACAUCUGCUAAUGUUACUGUAUGAUUUACCUGUCGAGGAUCGCCAGGAAGUCCCUCGUCAGGGUAACAUAGUAUCUUGAGAGCAGCCGCUAUUUUAACUAAACCCCAAUGCCGAGAGUCGAUGUCUGAUAUCUUCUUAAGGUGCUCACCAGCAGACCGCAUAAACUCGGAAUGUUUGUUGACACAAACAUCAGAACUAUACAGAAUGCCUGUCUUCUCAAUGAUAAGUGUAUUAACCUGGACAGUAGAAGGAGAAAUCAAACGGCAAAAAUAUGGGGGACAAUUGCAUCAAAAUACUUUGGUCGCUGGAAAUUGGUGGCACUAGGUGCACAGAAAUGUAACGAUACGUGACUGGAGUAAUAAAGCAGAAAGGAAUCGGCGCACUGGGAAAUGAAGGAGGUGAUGAACUCACCAUCUCCGGUUCGACUUCAAAUUUAUAUUUACACAGGACAAUUUUCAUCCCUUCACUCAUAUGAGGGUGAUCCUCCUUAGUCAGCUCCGACUUUUCUCCAGGCACUAAAUACUGCAUGCAAUUCUUCAGGCCCCACAUCAACUCCAUGACAGUAUCAUCAAACAGGCAGGAAAUUCCCUGAAGAAAGCCACAACAAAAUCGGUACUCUAAUUGUUCAGAAUAAGCAAACAAGGGAGUCAACACCGACGAACUUGUCUUCAAUGAUAUCUUUAUAUUCAAGCUUUCCAACAGCUAUUUUCUGCCCAGGUUCGAUGUGCUUCUGUAUCAUGGUAGUAAGCUGUUCGUUAACACCAGUAACAGUGGCGCUGGUCUUGUCCUUGAAAGUUUGAAAUUCUUCAAACCAAACAAGCUGAUACAAAAAUAAACAAGUACAAUCAUGUUAAGGGGGAAAGAGACAAUUAUCAUGGUCUCCCAAAGAUGGCUGGAGGAGUAAUUUAGUAUAAUGGUAUAUGAUCAAAUCCCCCUGAUUAUUCGCGGCUAACUGCCCUACGUCUGGAUGGAAAGCCCGUAACAAACGGACACAGAGUUUCUACUCCCAAGCUCAAAUGAGUUCGGGCAAACAGUAAAAUAAAAAACAAUUCAAAAUAAUCUAUUUUUUUUAUGACAAACAUUGACAAAAGUUUCAAGUGUUUGCAAAAAUUCGUCAUGAAAUCACAUUCAUAGAAGGCGUGGCAAGAAAAACAAUAUCAAUACUCUGAAAAUACUACUUUCAAAAGCAUUUUGAAGCAUUAAGUUUUUUUUUGCCACGCCUUAGAGUAAUGUGAUUCCAUGACGAUUUUUUUGCAAGCAAUUGAAACUUUUGUCAAAAAAAAAUCAGAUUUUUUUAUUUCGCUGUUCACCAAGCUCAUUUGAGCUCGAGAGCAGAAGGACACUUUCGAUAAUAAACGGGCAACUGACAACUAUUUUCCAUAAUUAUUCUUCAUGGAUUGGUCUCUAGAAGGUGCUUAUAUGUGCGUCUGUAUAAGCUUAGUGCUUGUAUUGUUUCUGGAUUAUUUUAGUGGGAGGAGGUGUUUUCGUCGACUGUGAAUGCGUCUAUGGGACUUCAUCAAUCUUAAAAUGAUGUGAUGGUUCGGUCUCUCAGAGAUGCUCAUAAGAUAAUUGAUGCAUGCUUAUGUUUAUAGAAAUAAAUGUAUACGUGUCUAUAUAAAUGUCUACGUUUUUAAUUCUUUUGAAUAUGCAAAGUUUCUUUAACAUUCUUGAAAAAAAUCGGUGAUAUUUUUCAAAUUCAAAAAUGCAUGAAUGUUUUAAAAAAUUAUGAACUUUUUUUUCAAAUCCGUGAACUUUAAAAAAAAUCAUGAACCUUUUUCAAAUUUGUGUACUUUUUUUACAAUUUGUCAACUUGAUUUUCAAAAUCCGUGAACUUUUUUCCAAAUUGAUGAACUUUUUUCAAACCAGUGAUUAUUUCCAAGAUGGAUGAUUUUUUUUAAAUCGGUGAGCCUUGUUUUCAAAAUCCUAAACUUUGUUUGAAUUCGGCAAAAAUUUUCCUUUUUUGUGAACAUUUUCUUUUUAAAAUCAUUUUUUGAAAACAGUCAACUGCGGCCAUAAAGCGAGAAAACAAACGACUCCCCGAACCAAAGAUCGCCUCCUUGUUGGGCCAAUCAAUGAGGGGUCGCAUGUGGGCAUCGGCUACUCUUGGACUCCCCGAACAAAUGUUUGCCAUGUUGAACAUACAAAAUUACCAUGUUGUAUCGUUAAAUUUGUCAUGUUCCAAAAAAUAGUUUACAAAAAAAUAAUGAUGGUUAAUAACAAGAUUCCAUGGCGGUGUAAAAACAUGACGGUGUAAAAACAAGGAAGUUUGCCAUGAUUAAAGUAACAAAUUUGCCAUGGUCUAAACAAAAGGUUUACCAUGGUUAAAGUUAUCACUUUUAGCUAGAUGUAAGUUGCCUAAGAAUAAAAUUUGGGCCCGGUCACGUAUGGGAUAAAUAUACCCAUAGCGGGAAAAGUCGUCUACGAAUGUAAUGAAUGAAUCAAACCCAUCUACAAACUUAACAUUAAGGGGUCCACAUAUAUCGUUGUGAAUUAAUCCUAAACCCAUGUGGCUCUUACCGCUCCUUUCUUAAUUGUUUUUUGUAUUUUCCUUUAAUGCAGUCGACACAUCUGUCCGCAUCUGAGAAGUCUAAUGGGAGGAGUAUUUCAUUUUUAACUAAGCAUUCCAUUCUCCCCCUCGAAAUGUGGCCCCAACAACAAUGCCAUUUUGAAGAAUUACUAACUCCUUUCCACUUCUUCUCAACAUUAAUUUCAUCACUCACAUGCAUAACUGAAUCAUUAUUAAGAGAUAACAUGUAUAGUUGGCCUCGUCUAACACCGAGGCCUACAUUCUUAUUACAUUUGUUCAAAGCAAAUUUUUUCUUGCCAAAAUGGCACUCGUACAUAUCAUCAUCUAAAAAAGAAACUGAAAUCAAAUUCCUACUUAAGGUAGGCACAUAAAUAACAUUAUUCAAUCUAAGAGUGUGGCCAGUGUGUAGCUCCAACGUGAGAGAUCCCACAGCUUUCAACAUCAGCUUCAACUCCGUUCGCAACCUUAAGCUUUCUUGUUCCUCCUCUUAUAGUUUGGAUCGUAUCGAAUCCCUGCAUAGAGUUAGCAAUGUGAGUGGUUGCACCUGAAUUAAUCCACCAUGACUUUAUAGAAGUUAAUUACAAGCAUUUUCUCCAGCAGUGGAGCUGCUAGGAGCAGAAGAAGAGCUCUCGACUUCUUUACCCUUGAAUGGCUUAGGGUUGAAUGGCUUAGGGCCUUCUUUCUUGAAUUGCUUUUUUUGAGGCUUAGGGAAACCUUGCCCGUCAUGCUUUCUCUUGUUAGAGCCAACAUGAAAAACAUGGUAUUUCUUCUGUCUCAUGAUCCUCUCUUCCUCCUGGACGAUCCUUGCGGUCAUCUCAAAGAGUGGCCAUUUUUCCUUUAAAGAGUUAUAGUUGACUUUAAAUUGUUCAAAUUCUUCUCAAAGAGACUCAAGAAUCAUUAUUACAAGAAGACCUUCACUUAAAGAACACUCCAAAGCUUUAAGCUUGGUGAAAGCGUUCACUAGCCUUAGUAUGUGAUGCCUAACAUUUCCGUCAAUACUGUAUUUCUGAAGAAGCUUAAUGAAAAUCUCAUGAGCAUACACUUUGUCGGAGCCUUUAAAUUGCUCCUCCAUUUCAUUGAGGAAUUCUUUAGCAGUGUCUUUCUUAGGGAGUGCCUCAGAAAUGUCCAGUGAUAUUGUCGCUUUCAUAAUGAGAAGCGCCAUAUGGUUGGACUUGUUCCAUUUUUCAUCUUAACAUCAUAGUCCUUUUUGAGUUCUGCAUACCCUGUAGCACCUACCACGGGUGCUACAGGUUUUUCUUCCCUCAAGGCAUAAUUGAACUCAUUACAACCCAAACAUAAUUUGACUUGGGACUUCCAACGCGGGAUGUUACUCCCGUAAGUGGUUCGAUCGUGUCGGACCGGAAUGGAGCGGAAGAUGAAAUUAUCAAUAAAAAAUCAUAAGUAAACUUACAUGAUUAUAAAUUUACGUUGGUAAAUAAACAAACAUGCCAAGAAUUUAAUUUCAACUCCAUGUCAUAUCACCGUUGGGCAUAAAAGACAUGGAACUAAAAAAUAUCAUAAAGUGAUGACUCAUAAUAAUAAAACAACGUUGGUCUGAAUUAAAAUUAGAGUCAUUUCAUUUUCAAUUUAAACAUCAACAUUAAAAAACAUUAUCAUUAUUUGAUGCUUAAAACAUUUCAUCAUGCAAAAACACAUAAUAAAUCCUCAAUAAAAUAUCUCGUUGGUUCAAUUUUACCCAGAAUAAUAAUGUGUUCAUUAUAUUUGUAGGCAUUUUCUGUUUUAAACAGUGCAGAACAUAAUAAUUGUUAACUUAAACGCACUGUAAAAAAAGACAGAAAAUCGCGACAGUGAUUUUGGCCCAAAAUUCCCACGACUACUCAUAAAAGAGCCCAGUCCAGCAGAAAAAACACGUUAAAAAACUUUCCGCUGGACUGUCACAACCUGGGCCGCAGCCCACGGUCAAAAUUGGCCCAUUUAAUGCCCGAAGGCCCAGCUCGGAGCCGCUCGUUGUCUCAGUCAUCGGAUCGAGGCGACGGCUCGGAUCGCCCCGCAAACGAGCAAAACAACCGGAUGGGUCAAACCCUAGACCAUUUUUUCUGUUAGACUAAUAGAUCUAACUGGCUUGUUUUAGCCGUUAGAUCAAAUACAUGAACAGAGAAGGGUUUAAUACAUCUCUAGGAUGCCAUUAGCAGGAACCGAUUGCAUCUAGAUCACCUUAAAAGCAUGAACAAAGAAGGCUUUAGGGGAUCGUUACAUGUCACGGAAGUCGACAUGAUCGCCUGCUCGGCGCAGGCGUGAUCGAGGGGUGAUGUAGUCGAGGUAGAGGUUCUCCUCGACGUCCUGAUGCCAUCCGAACACCACCGGCACUGGCCUGGGACGGCGGCGGCCGCUGGCUUAGGUCUUCCCUUUGCUGCAGCGCUCCCCUUGAUCGGAUGGGGUGAGAAUAUCGGGAGGAGAGAAAACCUUACAUGAAUUGUGACCGCACAGGUGCCAGCUCUCUCUCGUAUCCUUUAAUAUAGCGCUAGCGACAGGGGACCCAAAAUCUGAGUUGGUUUUUGGGCGCCCCCGAUCAGGGCGCGUUAGUUCUGGUCGAGGCUCACGUACGUUGGUGCGUAGACCCCUUCACUUAUCGUUAUCCAUUUUCCUUUUUUCUGUUAGACUAAUAGAUCUAACUGGUUGUUUUAGUCGUCAGAUCAAACCAACACAUGCAUGCUUCGCCACUAGAUGAGUAGAAACAUUGCAUGCAUUGGUGUGUUCCUUUUUAAUUCUUGCAUGCAAAGAUUUAAUGCUUCUCGGAAAUUAAAAAUGAGAUGAAGAUGAGUCCUUGAAAUUGGAAAAAAACAAAAAAGUUGAGAUCGGCUCUAUAAACCGAAAAGGAGGGAGUAGAGAUGUGCUUGGACUGAGUUCGGUGCAUUGGAGAUGGACGAGAGAGACACUGAUUUGAGAACAUAAAUGGAUCCUGCAAGAUCUUUUUCUUUGGCAGAGGCCCAUAUGUGCUCAUUGCCCUAAGCCCCCAACCUUCCUGGUCGCUUGAUCGGAUUAUUAAGGCCUUGUACAAUGCUAGAUGUUUAGGAAGGUACUUAGAAAAAUAAACCGUUUUUUCUGAAGCACCGGUGAAUUUUUCUACAGGAGAGACGCCUAAUUAAAUAUCUACCCUGUACAAAUAAGCACCGGUGCUUAAGUCUGGUUUAUUUUCCUAAGCACCUUACAUUGUAUAAGACCUAAACCCGCCACAAGGACAUGGAAUUUCACGUACGUUUGAAGUUUGCGAUGCCUAAAUUGAAGGCUACAACUACAACUACAAUCCAGGGAGGGAGGGAGUACAAUACGACAUGCCAGCAGGUAGAGGCACAGUAGAUGACCACCCCUGAUAACCAUGAGGAUAUUCAAAAUGGCAACGCAUACAUAACCCACCUGCAGAACGUUCUUACCGUGCAUACAACAUACAAGUACGCAAACCAACUGCAGAACGUUCUUACCGUGCAUACAAGUACGCAAACCAACGGCAGUGAAUUCACGAGAUUAAUGUCUCACGGAAGCAUUUUCUUCCAAUAGGGUAGUACAAAGAGAUCACUAACAAAUUCCACCAUCAUAUAUACACCAAUACUCUAGUGCAAGCUUAGUGAGGAGUACCAAAUAUCACCAACAGACUCAUAAUUAAUGGCCCAAGAAACUUCAUGGCCAUUGACGAUUAGGAUCUACUGAUAGCAGAAAGAAGCACGUCUACAAAAGUUUUCAUGGCUAAUGGCAAUUAGGGUCUACUAAUGGUACAAAGAAGCAAGUCUGCAGAAAAUUUCUUUUUCCUCUGAAAACUUGCAUCUGUUGGGAUCACUCACAACCAUCAGCAGAAUCGGUACUGUAGCUCCUUGCAGAAUUCUCCGGGCACCUUCUCUUCUUAGCUUCGUCUGCCAAUAACACAACCCAAAAAUUGAUCAGAUUACCACAUAUAUAAGAACAUUGUCAUAUCAACAUUUCCAACAGUGCAGUUUCAAGUAGUAUAAAUCUAAAGGCAAUGCCACUCAUUUUCCAGCAAUGAAAUAACUUGUGAGAUAUUACAGAAUUCUAAUCUCAUCCUCUCAAUUGGUAGUGCUAACAAACACACAACUAUUGAUAUGAAAAUGCAACUUCAGAAAUUAACUGUUCCCAAAGGCACGGCUGCCAACAUGUAGUGGCAUAGCACCACAUUAGAGUACUAGAUGUGCAUCCAUUUACUGUCAUGUUAACUAUUUACACGAUCAAACUAUUUACUUUCUUUUACUAAUAAAGUAUAAAAGCAUUAAACUGUGUCACAGAACAGCGGAAAGCCGCAAUGGCAAUCGUACCAAAAUGUAUUGGGCAUUGCGCCACAUAAAAGUGUUAACUGUUAAAGAACUAGAGGUGUGCCAUUUUACCGUCAUGUUACUUAUUUAAAUGAUCAAACAGUUUACUUAUUUUUACCAGACUCACGAAACAUGGCACAAAGUCAAAAUUGUCAAAUGCAGAUAAGAAUAGUAGACUCGUAUGCCAUAGCCAAAACUUGAAAACUUUGGGUCCUCCCAUUGGUUUCAACAGGGAAAGUAUCAGUGACGAGUUCUCAAACAAAUGUUACAAUCUCACUCGCUGCAAAGAUACAACAGUCACAGGGGACCAUGGAGCGUAAACAGUUAAUAUUAUUUUUUUCUAAUACAUGGAAUCGAUCAUUUUAAUGAUCAUCACUUCGUAACAAAGGCACGCAUACAGUAGAAGUGUAGAACUGCAUC
rnacentral:lncRNA from 1 species